ACCAAAUAUCUAUAGUAGCUUGUAUGUUAGUGAUGGUUUAGCCUUUAGGAACUGCACCUAGAUACCUCAUGGACAUGUAUGCAUACUGCUAUUAUGUGUAGAAAUUAGGGAAGCAUGGAGCGGUUUUUGCCUCUUUGGUGCAUGGAGAUCUAUCCUUUUUUCUGCAUUUUAAGAUGGCUACUAUACUGGUGUUCUUGGAUAGAUACACUUCUUUUCCACUGACACUAAGGGCUUGGAGUCUUGGGACCUUCGAUUCGGGUUUGAUGUUCGAAAUGCGCUGUAUUAUAUGCACCAUAUGUUUGUUUAUCCUCUAAUGCUAUUGGGAUGUGAACUGGAUGGUUCUUUUAGGCCGGCUAAACUUUAGCACCUGUCACAAACAUCCACUAAUUAGGAGUAUUUAACAUAGUCUAAUUAGAAAACUAAUUACAUAGAUGGAGUCUAAUUCGCAAGAUGAAUCUAUUAAGCCUAAUUAGUUCAUGAUCUGACAAUGUGGUGCUACAGUAACCAUUUGCUAAUGAUGGAUUAAUUAGUCUUAAUAUAUUCGUCUCGCAAAUUAGACUCCAUCUAUGCAAUUAGUUUUGUAAUUAGCUCAUGUUUAAUUCUUCUAAUUAGUAUCCGAAUAUCCAAUGUGAUCCAAACACCACUUUAGUUCCGUGGUGUGCUCUCAUGACUACAAGUCAUAUCGAUUCAACUGUUGUUGGACUAGACCUUGAAUUCUUGUAGAACAGAAGGGAAUUCAAUUCUUGGGCUUGUGCUGGACAACAGAACUAGUGAGAAAAUAUCCGAGUUUCCGUGCGGAAAGCCAGGAUGCCGAUUGCCAACCUCAUCCAUGACGGCAACUGAAUCCUGACCAGGAUGAGAAGUCCAUCAUGCCAAUGCUUCCGUGCCUUUUCUCCAGCAAGUGUCGCCACCUCUUAAUCGUCCGCUCUGUUUAUCACUAAUUGCCAGAGGGCAAGUUGCUAAUCCUCUUCCCGAACACGAAACCGAAAGGCGUCACUGUCGCUGCCAGAAAGCUCUUGGAACGGCUUCUAGAAAAGAGGGGAGAGGCCAUGCCGGACCAAACAAUGCGCAAAGUGUUGGUGUUGCAUUAGCUGUCCGGCGAGGGGGAUGGUGACUUGCUCCUACCUCCAUGACUUCAUGCUGCCAUGACGGUUUUAGCUUUUUUUUAAUUUUGUCCCCAUACUUCCGUUAUCCGUUGCGUUCAAACGACAGGAACAGUAGAGUUUUGUUUGCCGCUUCCGUGAAUAUUAGUCAAGGGUGGAAUGGAACAUGUGAGAAAUGAAGGGUGUUUCAAAUUCAAAAACACAUGAAUUUGACUUCUCUUCCGCGGCAGGUUUAGCGUGGCUACGGGGGAAAGAAAUGUUUGGUGCAAAAUCCCCUCGGGCGCAUUAUGAAAACAAAACCAUCGCCGUGCAGUGCAGUUGUUUACCUUAUCCGCUUAUCCAUUGGCCUCGCCGUCGCCUGUUGGGUCCGCGCUGACACCCGCGUCGGAUGGCACGGCGGCAUCAUCGCCGCCGUUUUCUUGUGGCCAGCCUGAAACUACGGAGAGGGAUCGGAGCAGAGGGCGCGCCAUGCCAUUGCCGACUUGCCGACCUUGACGAUGUUUUGUCGUCGUCCCCUCCACUGCGAUCUGAACCUCCGGUGAGCCAUGUGUUUUCUGAUAAGGAGGGAACCAUGCCAAGCGGUGCUGGAACGGAGCGCGGGCACGCGGGCGGUGGUCUUCCCGGAUAAGGUCAUCACACGCUGCCGCCCGUGCGCCCGCCGGCUCCCGCUCCGCGUUGCCUUUUCUGACGCUGACGAGAUGGCCUCUAGACUUGGACCUUGCCGACCAAACUCGUACGAGUACCUUGCAAGCUUGUGGCACGCUUUGGCAGUAAAGGUGCGACGAGGAGGGUGAUUAUCACACUGGGACCGUGCCUUUGCUCCCGUCACCAUCCCCAUGUACGGACCGAGUGGGGCGCUAGACUUUUCAAAGGACGUGCAUUAUUGCUUGCAUCUAUGAUCAGGCUCGGGAUGGCAGGAAUAGCAAGGGCCCGAUUUGCCAUUUCCGUCAAGGCGCGAUGCUCUGCUGGUGCCUGGUGGGUGGUAGCUGCGUGGGUAGGGCCUACGCGCGGAUGCGCCGAUCCCACUCGUUGGGAGAAAGACGACGACGCCAUGAUGGGGUCUACGACCAGUUUUCUACAUGGAUCUCUAAUCUUUGCUUUGUGUGGGGUAAAAGUUGUGUCCUGUUUGCUGCUGCCAGUUAAAGGGACUUGGGGAAUCUACCUCCUAUAGCCAGAAUUUUUCUUCUGCCUCGUAACUUUCUCAUUUGCAUGAUCACUGUGCUGCAUUGUACCGUCCCGUGUCAUCUUGUGCUCAUGUUUUCUGCGUUACCGCGUUAUUGUCUUACUGCUGGCGUAUCGAAACUCGGAGUUUAUCCCGUCAGCUCUAACAGAGUGCAAGUAAGUGGGCAACAGAUUCAAAUGAGAACAAAACAAACCCGAUAAUAAAGAGAAAAUCAGAGAAGAAAUGGGCCGGGAAAAUCAAAUAGAUACAGCCCACCCACGUACACUCAGCCCCGUUUGGUUACAUUUGCUUAUUUUUAGCACCCGUCACAUCGAAUGUUUAGAUACUAAUUAGAAGUAUUAAACGUAGACUAUUUACAAAACCCAUUACAUAAGUAGAGGCUAAACGGCGAGACGAAUCUAUUAAACCUAAUUAGUCCAUAAUUUGAUGUUUAGAUACUAAUUAGAAGUAUUAAACGUAGACUAUUUACAAAACCCAUUACAUAAGUAGAGGCUAAACGGCGAGACGAAUCUAUUAAACCUAAUUAGUCCAUAAUUUGACAAUGUGUUGCUACAAUAAACAUUUGCUAAUGAUAUUAAACCUAAUUAGUCCAUAAUUUGACAAUGUGUUGCUACAAUAAACAUUUGCUAAUGAUGGAUUAAUUAGGCUCGGUAGAUUCGUUUCGCCGUUUAGCCUCCACUUAUGUAAUGAGUUUUGUAAAUAGUCUACGUUUAAUACUCCUAAUUAGUAUCUAAAUAUUCGAUGUGACAUGUGCUAAAAAUAAAUAAAGGAACCAAACGCCCCCUCAGAGAGGAAAAUAACAACCGCACAACCUGCUGCAAGGAGGAUAUCAAAACAAGUCCAACCAACCAUCAGAAACCGAAUGAAAUUAGGUUGUGUUUAGAAAUGAGUGAUAUUUAGAAAUCUCAACUGAGUGAUGAAAUUUCGAAGAUAACAGACGCCCGGGCCGAAAUAUCUGAGGCGAGCGAGCGACAGAAAUAAUUUUUUUAUUGAGCCCAGGCGGGUCGGAGUGGGUUGGAACGGGGUUCGACCCAUUUCAACGUGUGUUUGGUUGGUGGGGAUUGGAUCGGACCCAGUAAAGAAAUAUUCCUUCUAAAUGCGGGUCGAGUGCGUCUCUCCGAAACGAGCAAACGCACUCGAUCCGCACGGACGGUGCAGGGAGGCGACCGGUGGCGCCGUGAAGGAGCUACAGCCGGGCGGCGCCAGGAGGAGGCAGGGUGCCGGGGAGGAGCUGCAGCCUGGCGGCGCGGGAGGAGGCCGUGUGGGGAGGAGGAAGAAGAUAGAAGAGGAAGUGAGGUAAAAAAAGAGAAGGAUGAUAGGUGGAUCCUGCAGCUGACAAAUGGGACCCACAACUAACGGUGUUAAAAGAACAUCCAUCCCAACCCUCUCAACCUAUUCAACCGAAUAAAAGAUUCGGUCUAACCCAUCCUUCUCCUUUCCUCUCAUCUAAACACGAGCUAGGUUCACUCCAACCCACAAAAGAGGUUUGGUUCCAACCCGACCCACGUCGUCCCGAACCAAACGCACGCUAAGUGUGCUAAGUGGAGCCACGAUGGUACACAAUGGUAACCGUGACCCGCUUGCCGCGGCCAGCCACCGCCGUCGCCUGCGCCGCGGCCCCCGUAGUUCCGCCCCAAUCGCGACCUCGAAUCGGCGGCCGGAAUCUCCCGCCCCGCUUGAUUAGUCGAGGAGCAGGCUCGCUCAGGGCACGGGGCCGGUGGAUGCUCCGCCGCCGACGCUCGCGCGGUACCUCUCGCUGGGCUGGACCCGCUCGCCUCCGGGGCACCCCCUGAAGGCCAGAAGCAGCACGUACCGAGAACAGUAGAGCGCUCGCCGCCGACGAGGCGACGAUCAGGUCGACGAGCUCAGGCGGAUCUGCGCCAGCAUCGCGGACUCCACGGGCAAUGCCAGGCACGUAUCAUUCUCGGCUCCCCUGUUGCUAGCUUCUUUCCGUGCCACAUUGCUAACUACUAACUGCUAUGGGAAUGACCCGGGUAGGGAGAAGGUCAGGUCGCUCCGUCGCUGCACGGGGCCAUCCAGAAGCUCGACAUGUACAAGGGCAUUUCCACCGGCAAUCGAUCAGGAUAGGAGCGCAGGACAACUCUGAGGUCAUGAGCAAGCACCUGCGGCGAAUUCGGGUUCAUGCCUCAUCCCUUGGCUCACUCCACUGUUUGUUUCUCCUCAGCCCUUUAUGUGCUUGCUCGAGUUAACAUAAUAAACUUGGUUGUUCUGAGAGCUACUAGGACAAAUUUACAACCUUUACUAGUCUGCAACCAUUGUCACCAGGCCACUGUAUGUAUCAUUACUCUCCUUGGAGUUUCAGGUCCAGCAGCUCACAAAGUUUAAGUCUUGUCACAAACUUUUAAUGUUUUCGCUUUUGAGCAUCAAUCAUUAGUCAGUCUAUGACCCAAACCUAGGUUCCUAAGGGGCUGCUUGGUUCAGGCGCCACAGGCUGUGGCGUGGCUCGCCACGGCCGGUAACCAAGCAGCCCCUAAAUUUGGUAUUGAUCUGAACUCUACAAUUUCUUUUUUAAAAAAUGUUUUAGUCUUUGCUAUCUGAACUUUGAAAUUAGUCAUACUUCUGAUGUUGCUUUUGGCUAGUUACUGGUUUCUGCCUUUCUGGGAUACAGUUUUUCUUUUUAUGAAACGAUUUCUGGGAUACAGCUUGGUUUACUUACCUGCAGAAACAACCUUUUUCUCUCUUAUACCAUUCAAUCUCUGUAGCUAUUGAACUAAUACAGUUAUUUCGUGAUUCAAAUGUAGGAAUUCACAAAAGUGAUAGCCUUUAGCAUUUCUUAUCGUGAAGUAUAAUUCUAUCAGGUUUGUAUAUAGUAUCAAGCAUGUUAAAGAAAACUCUUUGCCUGCAAAAAAGAGUGGGUCCUAUUUGGAAAAAAAUGUGGUGAGGAUUAUUUCUCGGGGAAAGCUCACAGCUCUCUGGUUAUGAUUAACAGGUGAAUGCUCAUAAUCUAGCUGUGCCCUAGACAGAUUCUUAGCUUGUCUGACAGACAUACAAUGCAAAAGACACCUUUGUCAAAUAAUAGAAGGCUUCCUUUAAAGGAAAACCUACUUUAUUUAUAACUAAAAGCUCCAGUUACAUGAUGUUUGAGAAAAAAGGGUUUCAAAUAAGCAAGUACAAGAGGAAAUAAAGUGUCACGUUAGUCAUUGGCUGAUGCUUAGAAUCAAUCUGACAAUUAAAAUUUACAAAAGAAAACUUUCCAAGUUGCUCUUCUUCCGAGAGCCCUUCUUAGCUGCCAUAUGCGGUAGCUUUCCAAUCCCAUAACUGAAGGAGCGGUUCUUGUGUGGUAGUAUCCGAGACCUCCUUACCUUGAUUCUCCCUCUACAUUGCAGUUCAUUUCAGUUUGAUGUCACUUGAUGUCCCAAACCUGGCGAACAAAAAUCACUGAAAAGCAAACCUUUUAGGUUGCCUUCUUCCCAGAGCGCUUCUUGAUUGUGGUGCGGCAUGACUUUCGUAUCUCACAGCUGAAAAUGUGGUUCUUGUAUGGUGGCAUUUGGGACCUUCAUGCUAGGACCUCGAUUCUCCCUCUACAUUCCAUAGUUCCAACUAGGAUAUCCUCAAAUGUUAUAUUGGGAACUUCCUCGUGACCAGAAUUUGUUUGAUACUGAUUAUGGACCACACAAAAUUCAGCAUUGGCCAUUCUCUGAAAAAUCGUCAAAAUUCAGCAUUGGCCAUUCUCUGAAAAAUCGUAGGCUUAUUUUUUUUUUGCAUGAGGGCACAUGGAUGUUCACCAAACAUGGAGGUGUUCCUUUGUAUAUGGAGCCUUGUAAAUUUAAGUGCUCUCGACCAAAAUUGAGCAUUAAGGUUAGAUCUCAAUAAGCCACCAAUUAUGUUUACACCCAUGAACGACCCAUUUAUCUCCAUGCCAAUCUCCAUGGCUAUUGAUGCCAACUUUGGUUGUUCCUCAGGAUCUGUACUGCCAAAUGUGAGCACCUUGAAGAAAUACCAGAAUGCUUCUCUGGUUAGAUGGUUCAAUACAAGAGCUUGUGUGGUACCAAAUUCAAUGAUUUUUCUAGAUUGACAUGUGAUUAUGACUUUGCUACCGCUGGCAAUUCCACCAACAUAAGUUGAAUAUAUGUUUUUCCAUGUAUCCUCGUCGAUAUCCUUUGGCAAUUCAAUGAUAAGUAGCAGCGCUUUAUUUCCAUCAGAGAUGCUUUGAUACUUGCUCACUGCACAGCUAUUCUUGGUAUUAUUUAGCAUUUGCUCUUUCAAAUCAUCUUCCGUGAUCAAAAGAAUUUGAGAAAAUAGAUCACGCACCGUUCAUUGUUGCAGACAUGUGAAACUAGGGUGCUCUUUCCUGCAGCCGAUGGGCCAACUAUUGGUAGGGCGCCCACACUUUGUGCACAAGAAUAUGUUUGCACUGAAAACCUCAUCACCCUUUCCAUCUCCAUUUGACGAGCAAACAUGCACUUGCUUGUCAAGAAAGAGGUGCAUGCUGUAAGGUUACUGGUAUAAUGGAGAAUGGUUCUUCAGAAAUGCAACAAACUCAUUCAUGUCACUGAUGAUGCUAUUUAAAUUUUGAAGAACCUUUUCUAGCUCCUCCUUGCCAUGUGUAUUGUUGGAGGAGAGAAAGAGACGCUUGACGGGGUUGAAUUUAGACAUGGAAAAAGAAUGACUCACUCCAUGAUCAAUUGGCCUCCUUUUCUUCACUACUGUCUUGACUUAUGAAGUUGUCUAAGGUGUAAUAACCCCUGUAAACCUCCUUUCUCAGUAUGUUCAGUUGCUCUACCAUAGCUUGAUUUGUAUGUAAUGUGCCGUCCCUCUGCCUCCUCAAUGAUAACACGGCCACAUCGGAGUAGCCGUUGUAGGCUCUGUAUGCUCUGGUCCUCCAUAGCUUGUGCUGUUGGGCGUCGAGCAUUUGUCAAUCAAGAAAGAUGUAGAUCUGUUGGUAAUCAUUUCCCCGACUGCAUUGAAAGUGGCUUCCAUUGGAAAACUUACUCUCCUAGCUGAUAAAUAGUUGAACCUCUUCUUAGUUAUUACAUCUAUGAGCGUAAAGCACAGCGUGCAUCAUGGAAUACACAAAAAUAUAUAGCACUUACAAAGUACUUCCUGGGAUUCUUAGCAUGGCACGGACAUUGCAUUUGGCUUGAACAAAUAUAUACAUCUCCUGGGAUUUGACACCAUCUUCCUAGAACCACACGCCAAUUAUGGACAAUCAUCGAAGGAACCUAGAACAAAGAUGCAUGGCAAGGCAACAGGCAUAGUUUCCUCCGCAUGCUGCUUGACUAAUUAAUUUGGGCAUGACUCUUUGCUCCUUCAGAAUAUCGCUCUCUUAACAAUGUCAUGGCCUAUUAACUAGUUUCUAACUUAUUCACUAUCUGCUCAGAUGAUGCAAAAUGGAGUUUUUUUUUGUUUGAAUAUAUAAGACCAUUGACCAACACAUGCAGAUUGAUAUGACAGGGAAGAAACAGAGCAGCCUGAGCAUAUAUUCUGCUGAUUUACAACAGCAGAUGGCACCAGGAGCAUGCUGAAGUGUGAAUCGACAGGUUUGCAACUGAACACACGGUACAUUCUGCUCAUAAUUAAGAUACAAGUUGCAAAACUACGCAUGUUUAGGAUUACAUCUUACGGACUAUUAUCUAAUCACACACAUGUAAAGCUCUUUGCUUGGCAUCUACUGGUGGACCCGCUUAAUUGUUCAUGAUCGAUGGUCCGUCUUUGCAGAAGCAGGAAAGCUCAAAUCUUGAUUACCAUUUCAGGCUGCUUGUCAUCGUGCUGACCUCCCGAAGCUCCAUUCCUCCAGGGAGCCGGGUGCUUCUUGCUUCCUUUCUUCGAGUUGUGGUCCUCCUCGUCAUCAGAAUCUGAGUCAGAGUCAGAAUCAGAGUCUGAAUCGGAACCUGAAUCGUCAUCAGAGUCUGAAUCGGAGUCGUUCUUGUCGUCCCGCUUCUUUGGCUCUCCCCAGUCGGAUCCAACCUCCUUGUCUUCCUCGCCAGCGGUGGCCAAGCUUGCCACGUCGCCGGCCGAGGCGGCCCGACGCCCCCCAGCCUUGAUGUCCUCCUCCACCUCCUUGUCACCGUCGUGGUGCACCGGCAGCAGGCUGCGUGUUUCCUCCACGCCGGCGGCGAGGUCAGGCGCCUGCACGGCCGUCCGCGGACCCGUGGUGUCGCCGGCGGCGUAGACGGACACGGCUAGGAGGAGGACGGCGGCCGAGCAGGCGGCGGCGGCGGCGUUGCGGGCCAUCUUUGUUGUGAUCGCACUAUGAGAUCGAGGCGGCGUCAGCUAUGGUAACAAGUGGUAGGUGAGUGGCUCCUGUUCUGUGAGAGCGUCGUGAUGGUAACGCAGAGUGUUGUAUGGGUGGAGGCCGUAUUUGGCCGGGCGUGCGAUGGAGACUGGCGCUACGGGCUGAGUCACGUUAUCUUGUUCCAUCUUUUUUGGUCGAGCGGCUAGUAGUGCGCUCUAGUGCGCCGACCUGAGACUAGAAGCGCGUCAGCGUGUGAUUCGCUGAGAGAGUUCCUUGCCAACCUUUUGAAAAUCCAGUGUCCGACCAAGCGCGACCAGUGAAGACAGCGGAUGUGUGAGUAAAUCAUAAUUUUUCAAAAUGGAAAGUUGUGAAAAAAAGAAAAAAAUCAUUAAAAAAGUUUGGAGGGCUACCGGAUUGGCACACGGGAUCAGUAGCCCCUAUAGCUAUCUGAAUAUAGCAAAAUUCCUUACGUGUCAUUAAAAAACUUAUCAUCCCUUCUGGGUCAUCGUUUCACUAACUAUUUUAGCUCUUUUUUCCUUGCAAUGUUACUUAAACUCAGAAUUAGUCUACGGUAACAUGUUAGUUCUGCUAAAAAAUGGCUUCAAACUUGUAACUUCUUUCUCGACUUUCCUCCCACACAGUCGCACCAGUAGCAUGCCACCGCUAGGACAUCCGAUCUCUCAUCAUCGUGCUCUCUGCCUCUACUCCUCUCAUAGUCUGAUCCAUCCACCCUCUCCUAUGACCUCCUCUCACGUGCCGCGUCUCAUGGUUGGUGGCGCGCUGGCAGUCGCCAUGCUUGGGAGGCGGCCUUUUUUUUAAGGAAUGGGAGGUGGCUUUGGAUUUUUGCUAUGUCUAGAUACAUAACAAAAAUGAUGUAUCUAGAAAAAUUAAAAUGAGUAAUUUGGGACGGAGGGAGUAGCUAAUAUCCUGGUCCAUCUUGGGAGUACAUUCUUGAGUAAAAUGCAUAAUGGGUUUGCAAACUUCUCCUAUUAUGUCAACUAGGUCCUUAAAUUUUAAAAUAUGUUUUUGGGUCCACCCUAGGUCCACGCUAGCAAGCCACAUUGGCGUCAGGAGCUGGACUGUUGUGUUUAGAACUUAGGAGAUACCUUGACACUGUUUAGGGAUAAAAAACACAUUUUAAAGUUCAAGGACAUGAUUGACACAAUGUCUAAAGAUGUAAAGUUAUUUCUAAUUUUAGAUCCAUGGAAGUAUCAGUGUACCUUUAGUUUGUUCAUGUCCAUUCUAAUGGGGUAUUUUUAUAUGGGUGGGUAUUUCUAUAUACCGACAUCUACACCAAUGAUGGGUGAUAACAACUCCCCUCUCGAAUAUGAUAGUUAAAAAGUGAAGGGUUUCGAGUGAGCGAGCUUUCUACAGACACAUCACCUAUUACUAAAGAAAUUACUAGCUAAAAAUAGAAGCACGCAUGUAAGUCGAAGACUUUGAACCCGAUAGGUAGGUUCCAUCGUAAAGAAUCUAACCACCUAUAGUCAGAUUGCAAACUAUAUAUCCUCAUUCCUCAACCGAGUAGUAUAGGAGAACAAAUCGAAAGAAGUGUCAAGAUAAAGGGAGGGGGGUUAACUUUCUCAUCUAUUUUUCUAUAAUUUAAGUAGUUUGAUUCUAGUCUAAUAUCGAACAUUGAUUUGUUAUGUAUUGAUGAUGUCUCGCUUGAUUUCAACUGAUUGUUCAUCAUAAUUACAUUUAUGUUAGUAUUUUUUUUACUUGGUUGCUUGCAUUGACAUAUCUAUCGUUUUUCUUUUGGAGUGAAGAAAUAAUUAAGUAGAAACCCUUAAUUCAAGUAUUAGUCCCAAAAUUGUUAUUAUAUUUUUGUAGGGUUAUUCUAAGAAUCUAAUAGAGGUCACGUGGUCCAAAAUUAAAACCAAAUCAAGGUAGAGGAGUCUAUCCUAAAGGCUAAUUGGAGACUAGAUCGAGGGAAACGAUAACGUGCAACAUGAAGGCACAUGGGCAAGCAAAUAUGUAAAAUAAAUACGCUUAGCAGCCUCUCAGUUCGAUGGCAUCCCAGCCAUUCACAAUGCCACAUGCCUCCGUCCCGUAAAGAGUGUUCAUUUAAGUUUGUCUUAAGUCAAACUGUUUUAAGUUUAACCAAGUUUAUAAUGAAGAGUAUCAAUAUUUAUAACACUCAAUAUGUAUGCUAUAAAAAUAUAUUUCACAACGAAUCUAAUGAAACUUGUUAGACAUCAAAAGUAUUGAUAUAUUUUUAAUAUAAACUUGAUCAAACAUAAGAUAGUUUGACUUAGGACGAACUAAAAGGACACUCUUUGCGGGAUAGAGGGAGUACGUCCUAUGGGAGUGGACCUUACAUUUUGUUUAAUUUAAGAAUAUUAAUUGGCAUAUGAAGAUAAACGAACAUUGCACUUCCACAACAUGUGAUGAUUUCAUGGAAACAUUUAGUUUUACAACGAAUCACAUCAUCGUACUAGGUUGGCUUUCCACAUUUAUAUAAUAAAACAUACUGCUAGAAAAAUUGUGUAAUCAACCAAAAGAAUCAUUUAAUUGUUUACGUCAUUAUUACAUAUGAUAGUGGAUGAAUCAAUAGAUUGGAUCUACGAGUACUUAUUUCUUGAUGAGCUAACUAACUCCUGACAGGUCAAACAGUGUGGGUCCUAACAAAUUAGUUUGACUUGUGGAAAUUGUGAGGUGUAUUUUUUGGCUUGUAGUGAGCUUGGGACUAUAUUCUAUGGUUCCCCGGCGGCCCUGCGGUUUAGUGAACUUUUGUGAUGCACACAUUACUUUUAUAAGAUUGCAUGUGGUUGUGUGCUUCUCGAUCUCAUGUAAAUCUACUGCAUGCAUGUGAUGAAUGCACAAGUUGUGCAAUUGAUGCUCGACCUAGCAGACGAUCACUAGCUCGCUCUUCUUUGGGUACCAUGCAGUAUGAAGCCGCAGCUAUAGGACACUGCGAGGAUUGCACUAGCUCAACCACUUGAUGUUGAUGGUGAUCCUUGAUGAGCGUGAAAUUAGUACGCAGAGGCACAACACGUUAAAUAAUGUACAGUAACCCCCCUAGUUGGCACGUGACAGCACAAAACUCGACAAAGUCAGCUAGAGCUACGUACAUGAUUCCACUAAUCAGUUCCAUGUUGGCAAAUGGAGUACUGCAUGUGUGAUAUACAUUAAUUAAUUAUGCAAUGAACUAGAUCAAUCAUGUUAAUCGGCACCCGAUACAAUGUAGUGCAAUUUAGAGACUACUCCAUCUAUUUAUGUUUAUAAGAUGUACGCACAUAUAUUUUUGACCAAUAAUUUAACCAAUACUUUUUUAUUUUUAUGAUGUAAACUUGAAAUAGUUGGAUUUGCAAUCAAAUGUACUCUCCAAUAAUUAAUUAUAAAUUUAUAACCAUAAAUAAUAUAAUAUAAGAUAAAUUAAUAAUCAAAGUGCGACAGUAACAAACAAGGAACUAUCCAUGCAUCUUGACGUGUUGAUACAUGUGAAUCGAAUGAAGCCUGGGCUGUGAAUGGUCAUAUCGGCUUCGCACAGUGUGCAUGGACAACUUAAAAUAAGGAAAAUAAGGCAUAUACUAUUCUAGAACCUGUCAGUUGCUGGGUUGGAUCUUGUCUGUCUCUCGGCUCCCACGGUCAACGCGUACAUGCACAAUAUUUAGUGUAACACCCUGGAUAUAUUCCUAUACCUAGAGGCUGCUAAACUUCAUUUAAAAACUAUAAUCCAGGGUAUUAUACAAGCAGUAGAUCGUAACACAAUAACACAAGUGUGUAGGGUGGAGCUCCUCUUUUGUUUCAGAUCAAUCCAUACAACGUGCAACUACUCAUCCCGGUUUGGGACAUCAGAACUUUUCAUUCGGUUGUUCCUUUCAUCCAUCAAUAUGCAUGGGCUUAACCCAUGACAGACCAUCCCAUCUAUAUUGGGUUUGUCCAUCCAUCCAGAAGACCCCAGUUUUAUUUGGACAAAGAAAAGGAUCACUGCAGCAUGCACAUGGACAUUAAUUCAGAUUUACUUUAAUCUUAGAUGUGUUGAAGAUAGGAAGGUGGACAUGGAGCAAGGUAAACACUGACAUUAUGGAUCCAACACUAUUCUCGCUGAAGUUAUGACGAAGAAUUCGGGGCAUCAAAGUUGAGGAACCAUGGGAGAUGCUCAAGUAACCAUAGAAAGUUUUAGAUAAAAAGGGUCAGAAGGAAUAUAAUACAUUAUUAUCCAAUCGCUCUUAGCAAUCAUUUGAUAGAUAAGACUGUAAUUAAUGAGCUUUGCACAAGCCACAAGCUAGGGUCACCGGACUAUCACCGCCAGUUCAAUCUCCAGUUAAACCAUUUUUUAUCUGACAGUGAGCACCUAUUUUCCAGUGGAGCGCCAAAUACAGUGGGUGGAGGGUGGCACACACACACCUCCUAUAUUUUAGGUGCUUGAUUUUUAUCGUUUCAGACGACGUAUUCUAAUGUUACAGAUGCUGGUCUUCUUGCAUUGCCAGAUCCAUACCUAUAACAGCCUAUAUAAACCCUCUUACCCCCAACGGAUCACGCCACAGGCCACACAGCUAGCGUCCAGCUUCCAAGUCUCACCAUUUGAGCUUGCUAGCUGCCACGUUGUGUCUCUGCUUUCUAGCUUCCAAUUAAGCCUCACCAUUUGAGCUGGCUAGCUGCCACGUUGUAUCUUUUUUCUCUCUCGAAGUAACCCGGCCACUCGUUCAUUGACAUGGGAAGCCUUGACACCAACCCUACCACUUUCCCUACCGAUGUCGACAGCUUCCAGCCUCUCAACGCCGACGACGUCCGCUCCUACCUCCACACGUCCGUCGACUUCAUCUGCGACUACUACAAGUCCGUCGAGUCCCUGCCCGUGCUCCCCGCCGUCGAGCCCGGCUACCUGCGGCGCCUGCUCCAGCCUGCCCCGCCCACCUCCUCCGCGCCCUUCAACGUCACCAUGAAGGAGCUCCGCGAGGCCGUCGUGCCCGGGAUGACGCACUGGGCCAGCCCCAACUUCUUCGCCUUCUUCCCGUCCACCAACAGCGCCGCCGGCAUCGCCGGGGAGCUCAUCGCCUCCGCGAUGAACACCGUCGGGUUCACCUGGCAGGCGUCGCCGGCGGCCACCGAGAUGGAGGUCCUCGCGCUCGACUGGCUCGCGCAGCUCCUCCGCCUGCCCCCGAGCUUCAUGAACCGCACGGGCGCCGCCGGCCGCGGCACCGGCGGCGGGGUCAUCCUCGGCACCACCAGCGAGGCGAUGCUGGUCACCCUCGUCGCGGCCCGCGACGCGGCGCUGCGCCGGAGCGGGUCGAGCGGCAGCAUGGCCGGGAUCACGCGGCUCACCGUGUACGCCGCCAACCAGACCCACUCCACGUUCUUCAAGGCGUGCCACCUCGCCGGCUUCGACCCCGCCAACGUCCGCUCCAUCCCCACCGGCGAGGAGACCAACUACGCGCUCGACCCAGCGAAGCUGCUCGAGGCCAUGCAGGCCGACAUCGACGCCGGCCUCGUGCCAACCUACGUCUGCUGCACGGUGGGCACCACGUCGUCCAACGCCGUGGACCCCGUGGGCGCCGUCGCCGAAGCCGCCGCCCGGUUCAACGCCUGGGUCCACGUCGACGCGGCGUACGCCGGCAGCGCAUGCAUCUGCCCGGAGUUCCGGCACCACAUCGACGGCGUGGAGCGCGUGGACUCCAUCAGUAUGAGCCCGCACAAGUGGCUGAUGACGUGCCUGGACUGCACCUGCCUCUGGGUGCGCGACACGCACCGGCUCACGGGGUCGCUGGAGACGACGCCGGAGUACCUGAAGAACAGCGCCAGCGACUCCGGCGCCGUCACCGACCUCAAGGACAUGCAGGUGGGCAUCGGCCGCCGCUUCCGGGGGCUUAAGCUCUGGAUGGUCAUGCGGACCUACGGCGCCGCCAAGCUCCAGGAGCACAUCCGCAGUGACGUCGGCAUGGCCAAGAUGUUCGAGGAAUCCGUGCGCGCCGACGAGCGGUUCGAGGUCGUCGUGCCCAGGAACUUCGCGCUCGUGUGCUUCAGGAUCAGGCCCCACGGCGGCGGCGGCGCCAUGACGGAGGAGGACGCCGAGGAGGCCAACCGCGAGCUCAUGGAGCGGCUGAACAAGACCGGGAAGGCGUACCUGGCGCACACGGUGGUCGGCGGCAAGUUCGUGCUGCGGUUCGCGGUGGGGUCGUCGACGCAGGAGGAGAGGCACGUCCGGAGCGCGUGGGAGCUCAUCCAGAAGACCACCACCGAGAUGAUGAAGGGAGAAAUAUAAUGUAGAGAAUAUUUCGGUUAAUUAGUUGCCGUUGUUGUUGUGACGUCCAAUAAGCCAUUCGGUGUUGCUUGGUGAGUGUAAUCUUGUUGCGUUUCCUGUUCUCCACAAAAAUUAAAGCAUGUUUGUUUAUGAAUAUAAUUCUGUCCAAAUGCUGCUAAGUGUCGUCCUGCAUGCAGUACGAUGGUGGUUGGUGGUCAAGCCAUGCAUGGCUGUGUGUCACACGUUACAAGAUCAUGCCCUAGAAACAUGAUCGAUCUAUAUGUUGCUUGAAUUCGUUGGCCUAGUUUGACAACUUGAGAUUCGUUCUGACAUGCAUGUAACAAAAGACGCAAGUUGGUUGCCAGGUUAAAUUCACGUGCGUUAAGAGAUCCCCAAGAGGAUAAGCAUGCCACACUUGUUAUCAUCUUUCACUAGAACAAAUAGCCAUACUAAUAACUAAUACUAAGACAUGUACGGUUUGAUCCUAGUGGACAGGUGUGUGCCAAAUUAUCAUGUAUACUCCUAUGGUUUUUGUUGAAGGUAUAAUAGAUUGUGAAGCUAAUUAAGAACCGGUUUAAUAAUACAUCAAUUACGAUUUUUUCCGUUUCGCAAAAAAUUACGAUUUUUUCUGGUAAACAACGCCUAUAUACCAAUGUUUUAAAGUUCCCUCUAGCCCCGCACUAAUGGGAAAGAAAUUUGGUACAGAAAUACAGUGGCUUGGACAGGAUACGAGAGGGGACCAAAUUAGUAAAUUUUUAGCACUUAGGAGUAUGUGGUAGAAUUAAGUGCUCCUUAAGGAAACAUAGAGAAUCAGGGGGUGCCAUGGCCAACUUUGGCCAUGCCUAAGCUCCGUCCCUGCAAAAAUAGUAAAAAGGUUUGGUAAAUACAAUGAGAAAACGGAAGACAAAGGCACAAGUUGCCCCUUUCAACAUGGACAAAUAAAACGAUCUCUGGUUACACUAGAUCUGCUGAAGAUCUGAGUAAUUAUGUUCUGACCAGUACGAAUACAGAGACAAUCAUUAGGCAUGUGGAGUAGGAGGGGAGUGGGGUUCGAACGACUAAUUUCCAAAGAUUUUACAUGUCAUACAUUCUAAUAAUGAGUAUGAUGAUAUUUGCAUCGCAUUGUCCAUCCUAUACAGCUUCAUAAGUCGCCGAAGUAACGAUAUAUACAUGUAUAUAUAGCACCCCAACUUACCUUUACUUUACUAUAUAUAAUAGUUUAAUUUCUUCUCCUCCUCGUCUCCACCUGAUCGAGCCUCCUAAUUCCAGACGGAGGUGGUAAUGGUGGCGGCGAGGCAUUUCCACCCGCUCCUCCUUUCGACCUCCACGCCUCCUUGGUCUCGUCCUCUCCCUUGGGGGUACCUAGAUCUGCUCACUAGUUGGGGCUCGGCUUCGGCGGUGUGGCAGGUCCGCGGAGGCUCAACAUUGCAGCUACUCAUAAGAUCUGGCCAUGUGGGAGUCUGCUUGCCGAUGGGAAACACAUUUGGUCUGCCGCAUGGGUGGAUUUGGUCUUAGACUCUUGGUGGCGAUUAGGGGUGGCGCAGCUUCGGGCACGGCUGUUACUAGCGACCUUCCUUAGUUUUAGGGGUGACCGGUCAGCUGCGGAUGGCCGGGUGCUCAGGACGCAUUUCAUUUCAGUGCAGUAUAAUACAAGAUUAGAAUUAUUGAGCAAAUCUAGGAUGUAUAUAGACACUAUAACUUUGCUUUAGUGCCAAAUUUUGCAAUAUGUGGGAAGGAGCAAUGCUAUUGCUGCUACCUAAGGGUGCAUACGACAUAGGUAACGGGUAAAAAAAUGAUACCCUUUACCUUUAUAAAACUAUAGGUAACUGGCAAUGUUCUACGCCCGUUACCUAUGACUUCGAGCAGACCGCUGGUGACGUCGUCAUUAGUAACAUGCAAUGUUUUCUUGUUUGUCACUGCUAGGUCGUUAUCUUUGAUGGGUUAUUCAUAACGCAUCUCUGGUAACAGACUCAUGAUCCGUUUACCUUUGACUUUCUUCGUCCGUUACAAAUAUGGGGGGUUCAUGUAGUAUAUCUUAUAGUAGGAAACACAAUAAUACAACUGAAACUUAAUUUAUAUAUUUGGUUUGAGAAUUAUAGUUUUUUUUUGUUUCAAACUUUUUUAUACGUGGGAUGAAAUUAUCAAUAAGUUGUCUUUCCUAAAUGCACCAUUCCCUUCCUCCCCCCUCAAGUCUACUGUGUCAGGUGAUUAACUGAGUUGUUUCCUAAAAAAGUGACUAAAUGAGUUAUAGUCACUUAUGCAACUGGGAUCGCGAGAUGGGAACGCAUAUGACAUCAAUAGUAUCAUUCCAUGCAUGUACUAUUACAUGCACGUACGUACGAGCUCUCUCCCUAACUAUAUCGUACGUGAAUAUCUAACUAGACUACUUGUACAUAUACAUAUAGUAAUACAUAACCCGACAUUAGUAGUACCAUGUGUCACUAAUUACCAAGGGGUCCGUAGGUGUGUGCAUCAUCUUUCAAACAAAAAAUCGACAAACGUCCAACUGCCAUCUAUCACUGAUGAUCCCUAACUUUCAAUGAUAGAUGACGUAUCCAUCUAUUAUUAGAUGUCUGAUGAGGAUGGAUCAGUCUCUCGAAGUUAUUCGUACGUAUGGAUAAGUGUACAUACAUAUAUGUGAAUGUCAGCUUAAUUUCUGUACAGUGAAUUAUAAAGAAAAACACGUGGAUACCUCCUAUAUAUACAAAUAUGAAAUAACCAAACUAUCAAAGUCGUUCGUACCACAUUUUCAUUCCUAUUUCUACGCUUGUACGAUACGUACGGUCCCAUACUCCCAUGCUAGUCGCCCCUGUCUCGGUCUUGCUUGCGACGACCUGCUGUUAUCUUCGUUUAUUUUGUACACGUACGCGUCCUGAGGUACCUCUCGACGUGUACGAAUUGAUUCUAGCUUCAUCCCAUAGUGCCCAAAAACUCCUACGGAGCAGGAAAUUGAUGAGUGUUGAAUUUUCAGUCCAUCGUUGCCGGUGAGGUCAGCGAAAAUUAUCGAGCCUCCGCACGGCACAGCUAUUGUGGAGCACACCUUCGUUGUAAGCAUGAUCCUCUUCCUUUAUUCCAUGGCCUUAAACUCCACUGCACCUUGAUCACAUUUUGCAUAUGACGCACUUGCUUGUGCAAGGAGGCUCUCGUCACCGUCGUGAACAGACAGCCUCCAGGGGCAACGAUCGAGGUCACAGAGGGAGACCCGGUGGCCAUUCAUGUCAGCAACAAGUCACAUAACAAUCCAUCGGUAAUCUUGACCAAGCUCCAACGAUAGAGAUUAGAGAGAUGGCCUCACUUAUUUUCAUGGAUAAUACCUUUUCUUUGGUGUUAAUUUUCCGAUUCAGGCACGGAGUGAAGCAGCAGCUGAAUUAAUUGUUGGGGUGACCGGGUGCUGAUGGUCACCCAAUGCCCCAUCCUAGUAGAGACCAAAAGUUCACCUGCCAGUUCAAAGUCCAUUCCUACGAAGUGCCCUGCAGAUGUAGAUUGUCUUUGCCCAUCAUAUUGCAGAAUACAGAGCGUACCGUGGACUCUUGGAGCAGGCUCUGUUUUAGCUGCUAGUAGUGACCUGCUGGAAGGAAAAGUUGUCAUUGAAGACAUCUAACCACCUGCCACUCCAGUAAUCUUAUCAGAAUAUAUAAUCAAGCAUCUUGCAGUACAUCUAAGGUAAAAGUAAAGAAGUGUAGAGGUGAAGCAAAGGAAGUGGUAGGUGAUACAGAAGUUAGGAGGAGCUUGAGGGUUAAAGGCAAAAACCAGCGCUACAAGACAAAUCAGUGCAAAGACAUAACUGCCUACUGCCUAGCCUGUGUUAUCACCAUGUUUUGAUGGUCCUCAUUUUUUACUGUCAUAAACCUCUCUUUGUUUACGUGAAGACUGUGUCUUGGGCCAUACUUUUUUUUAUCUGUUACGAAACUUUCCUUUAUCUGUUACGAAACUUAAGAGUCGUACCCUUUAAACAGCCCUCUACUCCAAAUUUAGAUGGAUAAGUAAAAAAAAUGCAAUCCAUUCUUUUAGGAAGAUCUCCAAAUUCUCCCCUCCACCCUCUAUUCGUGGGGUCUCCAUGGAGUACUAGAGUUGAAGAUAUUAGCCCUUAAAAAAAUACUUUGGGGGCUUUAAUUUGAGGGCUAUUGCUUAAGUUGCUCUAAUACCUUCAGCACGUGGAUGAAUUUAUUCAUAACAGUCCCGAAUUUAAGCGUGCUUUCUAUUCCUCUUUGGGCCUGCUAGAUCUUUCUGUGUUUGAUUGCCCUUUUACACGAACAGCCUCAUAGGUUGCAACGCAAAGUAUACACCUGCUUGGCAUGGUGUAAUUGCUCGCUAUUUAAUAGUUCAUUAUGAAUUUAGUCAUCUCAAAUAGGGCUAGGCAUUAUGACAGAGUUGUACUUCCAUCUAUUUCGAAUAGCAACUUACUUAAUGUUUAAACAAUCUCCCGGAAAAUUAUAUAGGUACAUUAUUAAAAAAUACCUUCAUAUAUAACUCAUAUUUUUUAAUUUGAACACUAGCAAUUUGAAUUAUAUUUUAGAUUUCAUCAAUGCGUGAGACUUUAAUUUCUGGAGUUUGGAGAUGAUAUUCAUCUGGUACAAGAUUAUCGUUGCGGCUACAUGAUGGAAAAUCCACAGGCGGUGGAGGGAGCAACGUGUUCGUCGUCGGUCCAUCUUCUACAAUAAAUACUGCCCGUCAUACCCAUCGACAAGUGGAAUUUAUAGUGGCAAUGUAUGUACCAUACCCUGUACACAAAAUAAAACAAAUCAUUUCGGAUAUUGAUGGCAUAAAUUAAACUAUGACAAAUCAUCAUUAGAUAUUGAUGGCAUAUAUUAAGUGGUAAUUGGAAUUCUUUUUGACUCGCCAAGAAAUAAUCAAAUUAGGUUAUUAAAGCGUUGAUCUAGUGCGCUGAAUUUGAAGCUUCCUAGAAAGACAGUAAUGCAGAAACAAUCCUGUACCAACCUGGAUUGUAGGCGACAAAUCGGAUGGCGACCCACCCAAGAUUUGGGACCACCACCGUGUUCUUGAGCGGCGGAUUCACCAGGUUGUACCUUGCCACAUCCUUUGCCGCAUCAAAGUUGCCGAGCCCUUGCGCGAGCACGAACAUAUCGUGGCCGUGUAGAUGCAUCGGGUUGGAGUCGCCUUGCAGUAUCGCCGUGCCCUGGAACACCAUCUCCACCACAGAGCCAUACUGGAACCACGGCGCCAUUGUUGCCCUGGACGUUGGCUCUAGCAACUUCUCCACUGGUCCUACGAUAAUCAAGGAGCGGUCGGUGUAAUUGAACACUCUUGGUGGCUUUUCGGGAAGCAAUAUCAGCGCGUCCUCGCCGCCGAUGUGGUGGUAGUGCGCCUCUAGUAGUGGUGUCGUCGUGGGGAGGUGGAAGGAGACGUUGUUCAUGGUAGCAACAAGAUCAGUCUCAUUCUCCUUUGUCCUAUUGCAGUAUUGUCCUCGCCGGCAAAUGGUGCCCAAGCCGAGCGUGACGAACAGGUGCUCGUCCACUCGCAGGCUGGUCAGGUUGCUGUGGAAGAAGAACGACAAUACCACGUCGUGCUGAUCAGGCAUCACAGGUGCCACCGGCGCAUCACCGGUUGGACUUGGACCUCCUCCUCCUUCGACGCAGUCCUCCUUGAUCUCAAAGCUUCUUCGCCAUUACUACCUGGGCUGUGGUGGCUCUUGUAUUGCACAAUGCCUCUUGUUGUGGCUUCUGGGGUCUGGGUCUCGGGCAAUUUCGCCUGAUUCGGCAGGGCGACCAUGUAAUACUUGCCGGGAGGCGCGUCGGCGACGACCAGAGCAUCCACGGUCUCGCCAGGCGCGAUCACGAUGAGAUCCGUGGUGUAGGGGCUGACAUAGUUGGCGUCGCAGGCGACCACCGUGAAUCUGUGCCCGGCGAUUUUGAGGAAGUACUCGGAGAAGAGCGCGGCGUUGAUUAUGCGCAGCAAGUAGGUCUUGCCAGGCUCCACAUCCAGCACGUAGCCAUCUUCUGCAACCCCUUCAGAAUCGAAGGCACACCAUUCAACGACAACAUAGAAUAGAAGUAGUACUAUACAAUAUAGUUGAUUACCAGAGCAAUUGAAUAGGUCCCCAAGCUUGCCGUCAAUUGUGGAUGCACUGGGGAAGUAAUCAAAGAAAUUAUCCUUCAUUUUUCUGGCUACCUCUGCAAGGUCCAUCUUCCACCAAUCCCCUGCCAUCAUCAACACCAGUCACAGAAACAGUUCAGCUCAGUACGCCUUGGGGUUGGGGCUAACAAUGCAAUAUGGCUAUCAGCUUCACUCCGUUCCAAGUCUUAUGCUCAUAUCUUAUAUGUGACUAAAUGCUAGCUGAAACGCUCACUAUCUUAUAUAUGCCGGGCAUGCAAAUUUUUUUCUCCAAAUGCUCAUAUCUUAUAUAUGACGAAUAAAGGCUGAAAAAAGUUGAGGAACCUAUAAUGAUGGGGACCUCGCGAUCAGGCUUAGGAAAUGGAUACGAGCUGGCCCCAAGCCUUGGCCGGAUGAUGAGGGCGCCAUGCAGGGUUGCCCGGAGGCAAGAGACGUGAGCAUGCCACCACAGGGUGCCUUCCUGCCCAGCGACGUUGAACCGGUAGGUGAAGUUUUGGUUUGGUAGGAUGGAGCAUUGGGUGACCAUCGGCACCCAUCAGCCCAACAAUUCAGCCGCUGUUUCACUCCGUGCCUGCAACGGAAAACACCAAGGAAAAGGUAUUAUCCAUGAAAAUAAGUGAAAAAAACACCAUCUCUCUAAUCUGUAUAACUUUGGCGCUUGUUCAAAAAGGCUAGAUUACCAAUGGAUUGUUACGUUGUAGGGUGACUUGUUGACGACAUGAAUGACCACUGAAUCUCCCUCUGUGACCUCGCCCUGGGAGCUGCCCGUUCACGACGGUGACGAGAGUUUCCUUGCACAAGUGCGUCAUAUUCAUCUGGCUCACCUAUAUAUACAAGCAUGUGUUCCAAAAAAUCAUGCAUGUGCGUACACAGACGAUACUUAGGACGGAUGUCAGCUAAUACAGUAUGCAAAAUGGGAUCAAGGUGCAAUGGAGUUUAACGCCAUGAAUUGAGGGAGAGAGGAUCGUGCUUACAACGAAGGUGUGCUCCACAAUAGCUGUUGCCGCCGGUAGCGCCAUGGUCGAGAGAAAGAAGACAAUUGCGUUUGCGACCAUGGUGGCUGCCGUGAGCAGGCUCCAGAUCUCCAUUGUUUGCAACUUUGAUGUCUGGUUUAGUUUGCGUUAGAUGUACUUCUAUGUAGCCUACUUGCAUUGGUUUUGCUAACCUCGGUUUUGCAAGACACCUCGAUCAUAAACCAUAAAAUAUAUUCAAAUAAAUAUUUUCUCCCAAGUGGGUCUAGAUCAGACAAAUGGUUAAAAGAGUGCAUGGGAGGUGUUUUCUUUUUGGAGUUUGUGCUCCAUGUUGCCGUGAUCAGGGUCGUAAUCUGGUCGGUUUCUACGCUAAUUAAUUAUGCAAGGGUAAACUAUUUAAGGUCUCAACGCAAGGAUUACUUUGACCUGUUUUGCGUUAAAGUUUAACAGGAUGUUAAAUUUUAACAUCGUUAUGGGUGUUUGGAUGAUCUGUUAAACUUUAACACCAAAUGUUGGAAUUGACAUCAUUACCCCUCAAUUACUCCGAGGUAUUUUACACGACCAUUUAGUUGUCCGCUACCUACCGUAUGGUAUGUAUCUACACCAGCAGCAGACACGGAAGAACGAGGAGAAGAAAGAUCUCUGAAAAGGCCCUCUGUAAAAUCUCCUUGUCUCCUCCCAGCGCGUCCCCGUUCCAUUACAAGAAAAGAUCGUGGCAGGAAGCGAUCCAAUUCUCAAUUAGAGGUCGACAACUUUAGCAUCCUGAGUUCUCGAAUUGAGGGCAACCUGCUGGGAUUCGGAGCAUACGGGGGUCGGCUUUGCGCGAUUUGAGGCGGACAGGGGCACACCUGGUGAGCUCUUGAUCGAAUCGGCGGUGCUUCGUGUUCAAUCCGAGAACCAUUCUGCUCCCUGCGCAUGUGAGCUUCUUGCCUUGUGCAGCCGCGCUCACCUGCAUAGAAGGCGAAUUGGCGGCGGUGCUGCUCUACCUCGACCCGCCGGAGAUCUGCCAGGUCGCCCGCCUCAACCGCGCCUUCCGCGGCGCGGCCUCCGCACGGCCCGGCGCCCCCGCACGGCCAGGCGCCACCGAUGCUGCCGGCCCCGAGCGCUCGCCGCGGCGGAGACGUGGCAUGCGCUCUGCCUCGUCGAGUGGCCGUCGCUGGCCUGCCGGGCCUCCUCGCCGCGCUCCCGCUCCAGAUCCGCGCCGGCGUACCUCUACGGCGACGUGCUCGAAUCCGUGGUGGAGCGGGUGCCCGCACUGAACCUCGCCGCCGCGGCGCGGGUGUCGCUCGGGGCAGCUGCGGGCGUCGCCGUGGUGGCCCCCCGCGUGUGGAGGUCCGCGAGGGCGGCGGGUGGACGGCCUGCGGAGGGCGGUGGAAGCGGGGAUGGCCGGCGGGAGGACGCGACGCGGGAGGGAGAAGAGGGGCAGCGGGGAACAGGGAACAAGUGGGGAGGGGACUAUUUUUUUUAACUGGGAGGGGAUCAUUUUUAAAAUCUUUAGUAAGUUUUAAUAUUUCUUGAGGUGUUUCAACUUUAACAUAUAUGUUUGGAUGGAAAUGUGAUAAAAAGUGUUAAAAGUGAGGUGUUAAACUUUAACACCUCCUAUGCAAACGUGACCUUUGUCUUCUCCAUGCACCAAAUUAUCUACUUUGUCACCUCAUGUUUGUCGGCAAGAGAGUCCAGUUUCUCCGUGCACCAUGCUCAUCUCUCCCCUAUUGGAUGGACCUCCGGCUCUCGGCCGCGGCCGGAACGUGCAGCGCCCGUCACCUGAUGGAAUGACCUCAAUCAUUAAUGAUCCAGCUAGUGAGGCAGCACACUGUGUCGGUCUGCUGCUGCUCUGCAUUCUUCUCAUGCCAGAUACCUUAAUUGUUCUCGUUUACAGUCUUUAUUCAGGAUUACUGUUACAAAGUAGGAGUCCUCAUAUAUAUAGUUCAAUAGCUCAUGGAUUGGAGGUUUCUUUCUUAUAGUUUUUGUUGUUUUCUUUGCAACUUGAAUUUUUAUGGACGUGAAAGGGAGGAAAAUUAUAUUUUGUGCUAAUGGACAAGCACGAUUCGCCAUAGUGCAUGUUUGGUUCUGCAGCUGCCCUCGCCUAGCCUCACCGGCGCGGGCAACAAGGGGCAGGCUAGCUGAUUUGACUCUCUCACAUGAGCAAGCCAAAUCUCGCUGGCACAAGCCUCGAGGUGCCUAGGUGAAGCAACCAAGUGCUCGCGCAUCCUAGCUCGGCAAGGCAACAUCAUGCCGAGCAAUGGAACCAAACGUGCCUAGUCAAAAAAUGUGAAAUCCUUUUGCAUAUUUAAUAACAACAAAGCUCAGUUAUAGAAGGUGAAAAGUGUAAUUACUGAUCAGCGGUUCACCAUAGUCACAAUUUUGAAUAAUCAGCGACGAUGAACCACCAUUGUCCAAAGUUUGAAAACUUCCAUUGAAUAAUAAGGAAAGGUGAUUUCUUUUUUAAUUUGCUUCCAUUGAAAAAUAAUAAAAUCCCUCUAGAGGGCUUUUAUUUUGCAUUGGGAAGACGAAGAACUGUUCCUAAGUAACAGAAAUAAUAUAAUGCGAUACUGCAGGAAUAGAAGGGACAAUUCACGCCACGAACAGUCUUAAAAAACAAUAAAUUUCAUUUCAAGGGUGAUAGCAAAAGGUUGUAUCCAUGAAUAAACAUCGUAUACCACGUGGUCCAAUGCAAGUGGACAACUAGCAUAUCAAAAAAACCCCACGACGACCAAUUUCCCACUCGCUCGUUGCUGCUAGAGAAUGUCGCCAAAAGCCUGCACAGCCGUGAGGAAGGCCGAAGGCGUCAGCAGGGCAUCCUCAACCUGGAUGUGAGAAGGGUUUUAAAUUUAGUUUCAGCUUUGUUAAUUCCUAACUAUUGUAGAACCUCACAUCCAGUGAUUAAAAUUUUGAUCUCUUUCAAUAGUAAUCGAAAUUACAUCGCAUUUUUUACUGCAAGAUCCAACUUUUUAAAUUUCAUGAAAUUCGAUGGAUAUAGGAAACAAAGCUGAAACUAAACUUAAAACCCUUCUCACAUCCAGGUUGAGGAUGCCCUGCUGACGCCUUCGGCCUUCCUCGUGGCUAUGCAGGCUUUUGGCGACAUUCUCUAGCAGCAACGAGCGAGUGGGAACAGGGUCGUCGUGGGGUUUUUUUGAUAUGCUAGUUGUCCACUUGCAUUGGACCACGUGAUGUGCGAUGUUUAUUCAUGGAUACAAACUUUUGCUAUCACCCUUGAAAUGAAAUUUAUUGUUUUUUAAGACUGUUCGUGGCGUGAAUUGUCCCUUCUAUUCCUGCAGUAUCGCAUUAUAUUAUUUCUGUUACUAAGGAACAAUUCUUCGUCUUCCCAAUGCAAAAUAAAAGCUCUAGAGGGCUUUUAUUAUUCACGAAUAAUAAAAGCCCUCUAGAGGCCUUCAUCUUCUCACUGGAUUUGAGGUUCUACAAUAGUUAGGAAUUAUUCACGAGCGAGUGGGAACAGGGUCGUCGUGGGGUUUUUUUGAUAUGCUAGUUGUCCACUUGCAUUGGACCACGUGAUGUGCGAUGUUUAUUCAUGGAUACAACCUUUUGCUAUCACCCUUGAAAUGAAAUUUAUUGUUUUUUAAGACUGUUCGUGGCGUGAAUUGUCCCUUCUAUUCCUGCAGUAUCGCAUUAUAUUAUUUCUGUUACUAAGGAACAGUUCUUCGUCUUCCCAAUGCAAAAUAAAAGCCCUCUAGAGGGCUUCGUCUUCUCACUGGAUGUGAGGUUCUACAAUAGUUAGGAAUUAUUCACGGAGGGCAGCAAUUAUUCCUAAGCACCGUAAAAUUUCUCUUAUUUCACAUAGGCACAAAAAAUAUUACACUAGAAUCCUUACAAAGACACCUUUGACAAAAAGAAAUUGCUAAGUCCUUGUAAGGUCCUUCUGGCCAUCUUUGUCCCCAGCCAUUGGAGGAGACAGUCGACUAGCCACCAUGGCACCAUGUAGUGGCAUAGGAACUCGCUGAACGUUCAACUUGAAGUCAAUACCUUUCUCGAAGAAGAUUUGUACUCCCUUUGUUUCAAAUUAUUAUUCAUUUUGAUUUUUCUAGAUACAUAACUUUUGAUAUGCAUAUAAAUAUAGAUUAUAUCUAGGUACAUAGUAAAAACUAUGUAUCUAGAACAUUAAAACGGAUAGUAUUUUGGAAUCAGAGGGAGUAGAUUUUAAAUGGCAAAAGAAGUUGAGCUGGGCUAGCUGGUUGUAGCCCCUCUUCAGCUGCCUUGCUCUUAAGGCUUAUGCCUUGUAACAUCCCAGUGAAAACCAAACAGCGACUGCAUUUUUCUUAUGUGCCGAAAGACGGAUGGACUGUCAGGUUUGCAUUUGCAUAUACAUUCUUCUCGCAGAAUCUGGUCACACAUCAUGUUACAGUAAUUUCAGAGUUACAGACACAAAGGUAAGCACGCCAUCUAAUACUUAAUUAAGCUUCAUUAUUCAUGAUGAUCUUUGUAGGAAGCAUUAAGCUCACACCUUUUUCACUACUUUAGGCAGCUUGUCAUCUUGCUUACUGCUUACCACCUGGAGCUCCCUUCCUCCCCUGAGCUGCAUGCUUCUUCUUCCUUUCAUUCUUCGAGUUGUGGUCGUCAUCAUCAUUGUUACCAGAAUCCGAAUCGUGAUCAUGAUCAUGGUCCGAGUCUGAAUCAUGAUCAUGGUCUGAGUCUGAAUCGUGAUCACGAUCAUGGUCAUGGUCCGAGUCUGAAUCGUGAUCAUGAUCUUGAUCCGAGUCUGAGUCAUGAUCAUGGUCCGAGUCUGAAUCGUGAUCGUGAUCAUGGUCCGAGUCCGAAUCGUGAUCCUGAUCACGGUCUGAGUCCGAACCGUGAUCUGAAUCAUCGUCAUCGUCUAGCUUCCUUGCCUUGCCCCAAUAGGAUCCUGUCUUCUUUCCUUCCUCCUCGGCGGAUACCAAAUUCGUCAUCUUUUCGGUGGCACUGCCUCGUUGACCCCUGGCGGCCUUGGCUUCCUCCAUCUCCUUGUCAUAGUCACUGUGCACCUGUAGCAGGUUGCUCUUCUCCUUGGUGAUGGCGUGGUCUGUUGCCUCCGCAGCCGUCAAUGGGUGUGAGGCGCAGGAGACGGAGGCAAAUACUACGGCCACUACCAAGAGGAGGAUGGUGGCAGAGAAGACCACUGCACUGGCCAUGUAGCCAACACUGACGGUAUAACAAGUGUAUAAUGAGGGCGUAAUGUGUGAUCUGUGCGUGUCAUGGAAGCAACGCAGGGAAUGGGUGCCCUCUAUAUACUGGAGGGCGUUAUGCUACUGCUCUUGGAGUGGUUUUAGCACUGGAGGGUGACUGGGUGAGUGAGUCAUGUUAUCUUGUUCAUCUUUUUAGGUGUGGAGCUAGUGCUUUCUAGUGUGAAGGCACUAGGAAGGCUGCUAUAUGUUAUUGUUGUUCGUUUUAUCAUUUCUACUUUUGUAUUGUUACCGGAAAUCCCGAUGGGCACAAUAUACUAUUUUGGGUUCAUUUGAAAGUUUUGUGCUAAGAUUUCUUCAGCUUAGAGAAAUUUUGUUGUACUCAUAAAAGAAGAAGGAAAAGAAGCAAUUUUUAAUUGUACCCCCUCCGUUCCAAAUUGCAAGUCUUUUUGGCUUUUCGUAUUUUCUAGAUAUAUAGAUUUUGCUAUAUAUUGAGACAUAACGUGUAUCUAGGUGUGCAGUAAAAAUUAGAAAAAAGACAAAACUACCUUAGAACGGAGGAGGGAGUAGGCACCAGUGAAAUUUUGAUUCUAGAAUAUCGGAUCCAUAAAACUUUUUUUAUAUGUGAAUCAUCGGAUGAUUUAAAGAUUCUUUUUAGCAGGGCUCCGGCUCCUAAAAUGGGGAGGAGCUGGAGGAGUCAAUUUUUUCUCCAGCUUCUCUAUAUAAAAUGGCUCCGACUUCUCAAUGCUUUAGGUAUGGAUCUAUUUUUGAGCAAACUAUUUGGUAAAGCUUCAGCUGGAGCCGAAGGAGAAACCGGAGGUCCAAAAUCUAACAAAAUGCCUGGCCCAUUGGUGCGUGGUUGAGCUGGUGUGCACAAAGGCGCAAGAGUGUGCUCCCAACUAAAAGUUAGCACCACUAUUGGAUUUGCAUGGGUUUAUCAGCGAGGAGAUUGAAAGAUAACAGGAUGCAGUUUGAGUCUUCCUCUUCGGACUUGGAUGCAUUCAUCCAUCCUAAUAGAAUUUAGAAAGCUUCUCCGACUAAGAUAAUAUAAGUGUAGGUUAGUGUAUCAAAAUACAGAUUUGCUGUUAUUUUUUCAAAAAAUAGUUUUUGUUGCGUUAUUUCGUGGCAUUGUCCAGCCAUGUACAAUUCGUUUAGAGUUUUACCAUUUAAUAUCUUGUUUGAAAAUAAAGUAAAAAUAAAAAUUAAAGGUUUGUGACGCAUGCUGGCCACGGUGAAAAAAGGUAUCUAUAAACUAAAUUUAUUCUAAAAUAUUGAUUAUAAAGUAGGUUAAGUAAAUGAAAAAAUGCAAACUGGAUGUAGCUUAGCUGUUAAUGUUUCUUGUGGUGGAACUUUGAGUCUUGAUUCGGCACUAAUGCUUGUAUUUUCCUAAAUUUAUUCAAAGAUUUAACUGGCGCUGGCGACGUGGUACCAGUGGUGACUUCAUCAAUCUCGAGAAUUUGCCGACUCAGUCUUUCGAAGGUAUUCAUAGGAAUAGGUUACGUGUGUGUUCAUAAAAAGCGAGUGUGCGUGGUGUGUGAGUAAAAAGUAAAUGAAAAAAUAUCAAGAAAUCUGCCGUCUUACACCAAUACCAAAGCGCCGCCCGCCACUCACCGCUUGGGCCAACCGUGGAAGGGGCGGGAAGCAAGAGGAGUUUCCCGCGCUCAGGCGGCCGCCACUCCACUGCCGUUCCCCCCGACCCCCAAAUCCCCAAUCCCAAACUAGGGUUUCUUCCGCCCCUCAAUCGCCGUUCCUCAUGCCUCCCAAGCGCCGCCGCGCGGAUCAGAGCUCGCCGGCGUCGACGCCACCUCCUCCCCUGCGGAAGCCAAAGCGUCAGCCGGUGGUCGUCUUCGCCCACGGCGCCGGUGCCCCCUCCUCCUCCGACUGGAUGGUCCAGUAAGUCGCCUCUCUCUCUCUCUCUCUCUCUCUCUCUCUCUCUCUCUCUCUCUCUCUCUCGAUCAGGAGGCUAAUCAGAUCUUCAGAUACGUUCUUGGUAAAACAUUAAUCUUCUUGUGUCACCUGCAUCAUGAUGUGCUAAAUCGUUCUGCUAGUUGGAAGAAGAUGGUGCAGGACGCACUGGAUGCUGUCGAAGUGGUGACCUUUGACUACCCAUGUUAGUUCAUUCAGUAAAUUUGUUGCUAACCCGUUACCCUUGGUCCGUCAUUUCGUUGGAUCAAAAUUUGUCAGCAAGAGCUAAGGGGUCGCAUGACAACGUUACAGAUAUGUCUGGUGGGAAGCGCAGGGCGCCGCCAAAGGCAGAAAAGCUUGUUGAUCAUCACCUGGGUGUCGUGAAGGAUGCUGCCAGCAAGUAUCAGGGGCAUCCUCUUAUUUUGAUGGGGAAGUCCAUGGGAUCGAGGUAGUGUUUGGUGGACAACAAUCCUGUUUGUUUCAUAGUUGUAUUAUGCAUCUUCUUGGUUUAGUUCAACAUUCAAAAACCUGUAGCUUGCUAUGCUUCAACACUACACGUUCUUCUGAUCUGAGUAUUUGACAAUGGUGUAUCAACAUUCUCAGGGUCAGCUGCAUGGUGGCAAGCUCCGAUGACAUUGAUGUUUCUGCUGUUGUAUGCUUGGGUUACCCUUUGAAGGUUCCUCUCAUGCCACUGUCUAGUUGAUCUGCACAUUGCAUUUUUGUUCCCUUGUACCUGAAUAUUAUCUUCUAUUGGGUGAAACUCUUAAACUGAUGUCCAGAUAAGAAAUGGAUUUAUAUUUCCUUUGUAGCUUGAUUGGGACAAAUGAUGGUUGCUGUGUCUUUUAAGUGAUUGCUUUUGCACCCACUAUGUUGCAGCUUUAUGAAUUGACAUUUUGUUACUGGCGGUGCAUUCCUGGAGAUGAGACUACAAAUUUCCUUUUGUUCCUCUCUGAACAUGCUUGUUUUCCGCUCCUACUUUCCUCCCUGUCCUGGGAACCUGACCUUGGUCAUGAUGUUUCCUAUCCCUCACUCCUAUGACCAGAAACCUGUACUGAUCACCAUUAAAUUAUAAUUUAAGAAAUCAAUUUUCUUUUCAUCUCAUUUUGCUCUAUCCAACUUAAACCUGACCUUGGUCAUGAUGUUUCCUAUCCCUCACUCCUAUGACCAGAAACCUGUACUGAUCACCAUUAAAUUAUAAUUUAAGAAAUCAAUUUUCUUUUCAUCUCAUUUUGCUCUAUCCAACUUAGGGAGUGAAUGGAGCAGUGAGAGAUGAGACACUAUUACAGCUGAAGGUUCCAACAAUGUUUGUUCAGGUAAUGGAAUUUCUCUUAAUUUUUUUUCCUGAUAUUGUAAAGUGAAACAUAGUAAAUAGUGUUUCUCUGUUUUACUUUUGUUUACAGGGCAGUAAAGAUGCCUUGUGCCCCUUAGAUAGACUUGAGUCCACUCGCAAGAAGAUGACCUGCAAGAAUGAACUGCAUGUUAUUGAUGGUGGUGACCACUCUUUUAAGAUCGGUAAAAAAUACCUAGAGUCUAGCGGGUUGAAUCAACAUGAUGUUGAAAUGGAAGCUGUUAAAGUGAUUUUGCAGUUUGUCCAGAACUCCUUCACUGAGAGCUGUGCCUAGCCGUCUUGUAUAUUUCCUUUAUAACACCUCAUGGUGACGAGACCUUAAUCUUUGGCUUUGUAUACAACUAAUAUGUUAAUGUAAUCCUUUAGGACAAGAUGUUAGUUCUGAUUUGCACUCUUCAUCCAUUGUAUGUUCUUUUGACGUUACAUGAUCAGAUGCUGGAAAUCAUCAGGCUACUGUCUUCGAAUCAUAUUUCUUCCUUGUCUGGUUAUCUGUUCAUAAUCAAUAUAUCAGUGUCACUGACUGGGAGUUCAUUUGUCAAUGUAAACUACUAAAUAUGAAUGCACACCAUUAGAUAACUGAGAAGAGAAUUAUUUUCUUGUUAGAAUUGAACGGAUGUAUAGUGUAUUGCAUCAUGGAAUUAUUGUGCUGUUGAAAAUGUCGACUCUCUGUUUUGCUCUCUUUGCGGCCUUUGGAAUCAUGGUGUCCUUUCAAUGUUCUUUGUGUCCUUUUGAACUCGUGCUGCUGAGAGUUCACAUUACAUUAAUUGAAGAAAAACACGAUCUAAUAUUCUUUCAUUGGUAAUGUUGUAAUUGUAUGUGCUAUUUGAUUCUUUAUUAUGUCACACAUGUAAGUUUACCUUACCCUUGUAAAAAAAUUGCAUGUAUCUUCAUUCACUCAUAUGAACUUGGACACUGUCCACUUAACUAAGUUGAGGAUUCCUGGUAUGCCCAUGGUUUAUUUUAGUGAGCAUGCCCAUGGUUUAUUUUAGUGAGCAGCUGGUGUCAAUGUAAGUUUCAACUUAAAUCUAAUUAUAUGCUGCCUAUUUAUUCCCAUUCACUGACUCAAAUCAAUUUCGUGGAAUCAGCUGUUUGCAUGUGUUUUGUUUUCCUCGUUGGGCAUUUAAUGCGAAAAGGUGUGAGCAAACUCACUUUAGAAAGUAGCAGAUAACUAAAUUGCAUGUUAAAGCUACCAAUCUGAUUGCUUCUAUUCUACAUUUUGCUGAUCUAUAGAUAUCGUGUAACCAGAGAGACAAUCGGUUGGAAGGAUAGUGCCAUUGGAAUGUUGAAGCUACUGUCAAUAAGAGGUCUUGCGUGGUAUGAACUUAACUUGAAGACUAUAUUUUCUUGAGUUUUGACAGAAAUCUGGCCAUGGAUAUUACAUUGUUUUGAUCAACUCAUUUUAAUAGACACAAAAAGUCUUGAGACAAGGAGUCAGUCAAUCAUCAACUUUGAACUUAUGACAUGUCUCAACUCUCAAGGGCAGACAAUGAUUGCUAGCUUUUGAAAUGCUCUGGAACUGUUUUGUCAAUGUCUGUCUUGCAGUAGUUACAUGGAUGGACUCCAGUUUUUGUUCCAACUUCUAGAUUUAUUGUUGACAUAUUUGCAUUCAGCUUAUGAGUGACCAUGGGAUGUCCUGACCUCCUGGCUUCUCUGAAUGGUUUCUUAGGAUAAUUUAGCUGCACGACAUGCAACAAACAAGUAAGCGAAUAUCCAAAAUUCCUAAUGGCACCAUCAUAUCCCCUCACAUGUUAGGUAUACAGCAAUGGUGCUUCUGGGGAAAAGAGGGUAUACUUGUUCCAUGUUAAAGCUUAUGUCCUGUUGCAUCUUUACAACUGGUUGCCACUUCCAUAUCAUUUUCCAUAUUGUUUUGUGUUUUGGGUCUAUCCUUGCUUCUGUAAAUACAAUAGACAACCAAUUGAAGGAUGCCUGUUGCACACCCAACACAGUUUGGCGACUUCAGAAGAAAACGGAUAGGUUAGUAUGAUAAUGUGGUUGUACCAAAUGUAGGCACACGUGUCACAUAAUGAUAUGUUUUAUUUUAUUUUUAGGUCCAGAUUGCAUAAGAAGUUCGUUUUACAAUAGCAGGUGAGCCCCCUGCUUUUAUUAUUUCAUUUAUAUAUGCACAAAAGUUUUUUUUUCAUUUGACUAGAUUGCAUAUGAAAUUACUAACCGUGAUAUAGGGAUCCCUCCCUAGGAGUCCAUAUACCAUCCAGAUUAAACUGGUUAAGAAGGAAAAUAAUGACAAGUAGAAAGGCAUGAACUCAACACUUCUCGUCCUUACAACUUGUUUCUGCAAUUGUGAGAGUGCAAAAAGGUUAAAUUACUAGACAAUGUGCCAAAAAAUAAAAAAGCAUCAAUUGCAUCAUUAGAAACUACUUUCUUCAUUUUUUUUCCUUGUCUAUAUUAAUGCAUUUUCUGUAGUAAUUUAGUAUAUGAGAAGUAUUCAUUGAGUUGUAUUUCUUAUGGUACUUAUUCUAGUUUCGUACUUCUUGUAGCAUGAGUUUUAAAUGAUUUUGCCAUGAUGCCUUUAACUGUUUGUAUCUGUAGUCCCUGUUUCUAGAGCUUCUAUAACUAAUAGUACUCACCACAGCAACAAGGGGAGAGCUGUACAUCAGCAUGGCAGACAACACACCAAUACUUCCAACAAAUACGUUGCGGAUGUGGUGGGUGUGGAUUGUAAAGCUUGAGAUUAAUACGGUCAUGCCGAAGAUUGCCAGAACCAGUGAUACAAUUAGGAUAACAAGCUUCUGCAAGUUAGUCAGGAUUCUUGGUCAGCUUAUGAAUAUUGAAUCCUUUUUUAGGGCAUAAUUUGGUUCUUUCAAAAACUCCAUGCUGACAUGCUUAAAACUUGAGUAUUCCUACCUGAACAAAACUAAUAACACACAGUAUAUUUCUUUAAAAGAUAAAUGAAAAAAAGUUCAAAUAUUCGUUAUGUAUUGCAUGUGUCGUAGAAGAAUAUGUGAUUCGAUUUUGUAAAUUAGACAUCCAUUUUAGCAGGAUUACUUGAACAUAAAGAUUGAAGAAUUCCAUCAUGGACUCAAUAAUUGCUUACCACAGCAUGAAAAUAAGGAAUUUAUUAGCUUUGAAGUUUGAACUGUACACUGGUUACGCAAGCUAUAACAUAUUGAGUGGGCAGUAUGUAGAAUUUUCUACCGUAUAGUGCCCCCCCCCUUUUAUUAUUUUUUUUUGGGGGGGGGGUGCUAUCUGCUUCUGUUUUUUUUUUUACAUUUUUAAACCUUCUGAUGUCCUAGUGUCUACUUGAGCUUACCGUAUCAAGUAUGUGAUAGUGAAACUGGCUAUAGAAGCCUGACAGAGAUUAACAUAAACUACCGUAAAAGGAGCGAUAUUGAGUUCUUUAGAAACGAUUUACCUUUUUUUCUCUUGGUGCAAACCAUAGGUAUAUGCUGAUGAAUGAUAUUUCAAAGAGUACUCCUAUUGAGCUGAUGAGGAAAACUGUCAAGUUCUUCCACCCAGAACUAACAACUGGAAAACCGUACCAGCUAUAUGUGAGGCAGCUGAACAGAGUCAGGAUAUAUGGUAUGCAUGAGAAUUCGCCUACACUAGCCUCCUUUAUUACUCUUUUAAAAGUCAAUCUGGAAAACAAAGUGAAAACAAUACAACAGUAAGUAGUACGCCAUGCUGUGUUUAUGAUCAUAUUAGUUAAGUAUGUAAUCAUGUACAUUGGUGCUGAAUAGAGAAGCAUACAGACUGCACAUCCUGCAAGAAAGAACCAAGGUAGUGUUACAAAGUUGAAUUAGUUUGCUUUCAUGAUAAGCAUGGAAAACCCUUCCACUCGAAAUAAUGAUGAAAUGAACUUAUUUAGGUAGUUGUAAACAGAAAAUACCUAUAAUUCCAAGUAUCACACGUAUGCUUGGAACCAUUAUUAUGCUCCGAAGUCUUCACUAGCCUUGCCACAGGAUGCCAGGAGCUAAUUGUUUCAGUGAUCCAUUGUUCACAAUAAUGCUGGGGUAUUUAUAGAAAGCAAAUAUUUUUUUUAAUGCUGAAGCCUGGAGGCAAAGAUAUUGCUCAAACCACCAUGGUAGAAUAUUACAUGUGAAUUGCCUACUUUUCUGUUCAUAUGAAAUUUUUUCUGCGAAUGGAAAGCAGUCAGACAAAGUCUUCUAUAUUUUGUGUGGCAUCUACCAAAUUGAUUCCACCUAUGGGCCUUUAAGAAUCGUAAAAGCUUUCAUGUUCGAUUGUGGUGCAUUGUUGUUGGGUGACUUGGUGUGCCGGAGCAUCUAUUGUAGUUUAUUUUAUAAUAACAUUGAAUAAGAUAUGAUGACAAACUAUUAGAUUUGCUUGACCAUGGAGAUGUAGGGUAACACUGAAAUUCUUAUUGCAAAUGUUGCUCUUGGGUGCCUCUAAGUAGUGCACAACGAGAAGAAAACAAUAAAUAACUGAGUGCUUCUUUGUUAGAUGAAUAUAUUCCGAGUACAAUGAAGUUGUAUCCUCUAGGUACUUCUGAGUUCUGACUAUUGUUAGAUGAAUAUAUUCUGUGUUGUGUAGUUACCUACUAGUGUAUAGUAGGGUAGGGUGUUUCUUGCACCUGUACAUCUCUUGUUAUCACCCGCUUGGGGAAUAGCCAUACUCCAAUUAAGUAGCAGUGGUUAUUUUCAGAAUGAAGCAACUCGGUGGCUCAACGGUGGUUGUGCUUGGUGGUGACUGGUGAAGAAUAUUGCAUAUGAUGAGCUGUUCUGCUAGAAGAUGGGAGUGGUGAAGAAUAUUUUUGAUGAUUCAUGUACAUUUUUCUUAGAUAAUGAUGAUUCAUGUACAUUAACCGCCACGUUUGAUGUCAGGCUUCUGGUCGUGUCAUCCCACUCCUUUUUUUUCCCAGAUUCUUCGCAGGUGCAUCGUUUGUACGAUGAGUUCUUUCCUAUCUCGAUCUGGUCAAGAAUUCAUGGUUUUGCUUAGGUGGCACAUACAGAUUGUAAGUAGUAAGUAUAUAUAUAUGGAAGGUACUUCGUCAAUGUUCAAUAGAAAUCAUCGCAAGCCUAGCAGAAGUGCAGAACAUUUGGGCACCUGAAUGGGUGUAAGGCGUGUAACUUCCAUACUCCUACAAAUGGGAGUUUGCACGCUUCAACUAUUGCACACUUGCUUCGAGUGCAAAUUAUGAAGUUGCACAUUGACCUGAUGUUAAUAUAACUGCUGAAUAGGCAAACACGAUCAAAGAUGUAGAAGGAAACGAGGAAAUGAAGUUGCAGAAAAAUACAAAGAAAUAGGACUCCAUUGGAGUUUUUCAGUUACUUUUGGAUCAUCAUGGACUCAUGGUCCGGCCUUGCCGGCUUCUUAUAUUCUGAAAUAAUGUGCAUGUUAGGAACUUAGGAUCACUCAUAAUCUCAUUGUGGAUGCUUCCACUUGCUCGACCUCGACCACCAGUCUUAGUGCUGGACUAACUUUAGUCAGUUAUUCUGUGGAAAUCAAAAGGCUCUCUAAUGCUUGCUGGGGUGGCUUUGAGUACUACGCAUUAUCAUAUCAUGACAAAAAAAAAGGAACAGUAUAAUCAUGUGAGAAGUCCUUUCUUAAUAUUGUGUCCUCUCCAGUGGAAGGAUUCGUUUAAUUUCGACCGUUAGCUCAAAGAACCUGCUUAGCAGUGGAAAAGGUAAAGCUGGAGAUAAGUCAAAAUCAAACAUUCCUUGAAGCUGAAUAUUGUCUUUCAUCCCUUUCAGCUUGCUGCAACAACCUAGCCAAUCUCAGGCUCAGGCCUAAAAACAUUGGAAUUAACUUGACCCAUGUCUAUUUUUUCCCAAUUAAACAGAGACAAUAUUUAGUGAAAUUAGAUUUUCAUUGCUAACUCCUUUCCUGUUGAUACUUGAUAGCAUCACUACCUUUCCAUCUUCUUUCAAGUAAUGUUAGUGGUAUUAAGACGCACAUCCGUAUCUAUGCCCGCUACAUAUUAUAACCACGGUGCAUCAAGUUCUAUGGAUUAACAUUCCCACCUUGCAGAAAACUGCAAUAUCGUUUGUGCUGGGCUUCAUUGUUCUGUUACUCCACGGCUUGCUUCUGCCAAGAAAGUAUUCAGUUAUCAGUAUUGCACUGCAUAGUAACUAUGCAUCCCAUCCCUAGGAAAUUUAGCCUUCUUCCUCUCACUGCUCCUCUUUCUCACCUGUGGCCGUCACUGAGAUGUAGACAUAUUGAUAUUUUCAUAUUUGUAUGUUCAUUUAUGGUACUAAUAUCAACACACAGAAAUUUCUCUCAUCUGUAGCACACCAAGACUCCAAGAGCUUUACUCAGUUGUGAUGAUAGUCUUUUAGACCUAUGUCUUGCCAUAAAGCCACAAGGCACGACAAGUUGCUCGUAGAGAUUCACAGAGAAUUGUUGAUGGGAAUUAAGAGCUCCAUUCAGAAUUGGUGUCUGGAAUGUAGGAAUUUGACCUUAGACCUAAACAGCUUGAUGGUCUAACUGCGCCAAGGUGGUUAUGACAGAAGUAUUUCAUCAAAAGAUAAGAAAAAGGUUCUAUUUUUGAACUUCAUCCAAACAUGAACCCUGAAAGUUCACUUUGUCCCCUAGAUUUCAUUUUACGUAAGGCAUAGAGGAUGGUUCAUUGUUUCUGCACCUUUUCUCGUGGCCUACUGAACUAAACAAUGAGCGGGCCUGGAGUGAAUCCUGUCGUCACCUUCAGUUUCAGCCUUCAGGUCUGCAGUGCCAGACCAAACGCCGGACCGGGCGCAGCCGCACGCCUUCGCGCACCGACUCGUCGAGGUCCCCUUCACCGCCUCAGCCCGGGGAGCUAGCGACGCGCAGGCGCCGCCACGGCGCCCGAAUCGCCGGAGGAUGCGUGCGGCGGCGAUGCGAGGACCGUGAGAGGAACGCAAAGGGAGCCGGAGGCAGCGGCUAUACGGGAGAUAUGGGGCCUAGAGAGGGCUCCAUCGCGGCGACGCGAGCGGAGCGGAAAUCUCCGGCGGCAGCGCCGGGCUCGUCGGCUGCUCCGGCGCCGGCGUCGAAUAUUUGCAGAACGCCCCUGGUUUGGAUCGCGAUCCGAAUCAGGGGUUCUUUCGUAAAAGAUCGGAUAGUAUAUUUUUGAAACCCCCCCAUUUUUGAUCGAUAUUAAUAAUCGCGAUCCAAUCCAGGAGUUCAUAUUUAAUAUUUUAGAUCGCGAUCAAUAGUCGCCAUAGUCCGUUUGUAAAAUCUCCGAACGUAUAUUUGCAUAAAACUCCCUGGUUCGGAAGGCUCCGGCACCGACGGCCGCCGCCGUCCGCCUCAGGUUCCGUUCCAGCCGGAAGCACAAAGUCCCAUCCUCCUCUGCAUCCGCCGCAGCAGCACGCGGACCACCGGCUCCGCGCGCUCGCCGGCCGCGCCGAGGGCUUCGGCCGCCACGCCAUCGGCGGGCCAUCUACCAUGUGACGUCCAUCCAAGGUACGGCAGCGAGAUCCCCCCAUCCAAUUUCUCUUCUAAUCGAGCGAUUGGUUUCUGAAUCAACGCGGGGGGGGCGGGGAGGUGCGCUCAGACGACGGCCGCGGGACGAUUGGUUUCUGGAUCAUCUUUGAGUUGUCCGGCACCAUCCACCUCCACUCUUACCUCCGCGUCGCCUCCUACAAGAACAAGACCAUCAACGGCAAAGGGGCUCCAGCUCAAGACCUUGCAUCACGUCAUCAUCUGCAACCUGGUGUUCGAGGGAGGCCGGGGACACGACGUCGACGGCAUCCAGAUCAAGCCCGGAUCCACCAACAUCUGGAUCGACCGAUGCUCCCUAGCCGACUACGACGACGGGCUCAUCGACAUCACGCGACAGAGCACAGACAUCACGGUCUGAAGGUUUGUGCUUCUUGUUGUGUGACUGGAAUGUGCAAUGCGAUGCAGCAAAUCGAUCCAUGGAUGAUCUUUGAAGCUCAUGAACCAACCCACUCAAACCAAUCACUGGAGAUGCCAUUUUGCCCGGCACGACGGUGCUCAUCGGCGACCGCUGAAUCGCUGAUGAAGUGAAAAACGGUCAAGAUCUGCAUCCCCAUGUUAGGUGAAACUGCGCGCUUAACCUUGAUUCGAUGUUAGUAAUUAAAAAGCCAUCAGUGCCGGCCAAGCACGCGUCCCAAACCACGUUACGACGAUUUCAUAAGCAUUAUGAUUCUCUCUGGACCAAAUGGUUCUGAGAUGAUCCACGGUGAAACAGACAGCCGAUUACGCUGAAUUUAUGUUCAGAUCAUCAGCUAGCACUUGCUUUAUUAAACUGAUAAUAUAAUACACCCAGCAUUCCUCAGUUUGCAUAGCUACUUGAUCUCCACAAUUUUUCAAUCUGAGCUAUGGCUUGAGUUGAAGAACCCUCCACGCUCAAAGCACGCACUGCUUUGUCCUUAAGUUCACAGGUCCUUUUUCUCAGUGUUUCCCCAUCUACGGUUUCCAUCACACACUUAAUCACUCUAGCAACCUCCUCCUUGCACUACCGAAGAAUGACCCACAUCCAAGAGGAUCAUCGUUUGGCGUCUUGACAACCCAGAUAAAUCGUUGUCCACUCAUCUCCAGCCCGAGCGCCAGCUCAGCCGUUUGUUGCCAUGUCAGCGUGCCACCGCUUAGCUUCCGAACAACACGUACACUACGGAUCCACGUGGCUGCUGGUGCAGCCACCCCAAGCACUCGUACGUGAUCCCGUGCAACUGCCGGUCUGGCCAGCACCAAUGGUCCGACCGCGAGGUACUCCUGGGACUGGGAGCACGUGCGGGAGGCUGCACGCGACGGCGUGCGCGAUGCGAUCGCGCACGGAGGCAGAAGGCGGAAGCGCCUGGGCCGCCUCGGCGGGGAGCGCGACGAGGUCGACUCCCUCGGGCACCGCGGCGGCGACCGCGAGGUACUCCUGGGAGGGGGAGGGCGUGGCGAAGGCGAAGAGGACCGUCGCGGCGAGGCCGUGGUCCGCAACCAGGCGGCGCGCGAGCUCCACGAAGGGGAUGAGGUGCCCUAUGCACGGGCUGCAAAAGAGGAGCACCCGCGGCCGCCAGGCUUCUUGCGCGCGCUGAUCCAUGGCGAAGUGGGAGACGGCGUCCGGCUCUGGCUUCUGGUAUAGAUCGAAUAGGUUGUGUUUCUGCGCGCGUGUUCGUGUUCUUGCAACUAAGUUUGCUAGUCACUAGCCACUAGAUCAACUGCACUGGUGUGGUGUCUCGUGGUCACUAGCCACUAGGUCAACUACAGUGGUGCGUCAAAGAAAAUUAGAAAGUCAACUGGGUUAACUAGCAAACAGAUCGAAACAGUAUCUUGCAUGACCUAGCUAAAUGUUCAGAAAGAAAAACUAGGUGAAGUCCGGGAAUCUGGGAUCUAGAUCUAGAUAAAGUCAAUCCAAACGACGGAUUACAUUAGUACUGAGUUUAUUUUUUAACACCAUUGUAUUGUAUAACUAUCCUAGAGAUAUUUUACGUGUAGUGUUUUCCAUUUCCAACCGGUUCCAAGUUAGCUACCUUUUUCGUCUUUGAAGUGGCGUACUCCUUCCGUUCCAAAUUGUAGGUCGUUUUGCAUAAUAAUAUCUAUGAACUUAAAAAAAUCAAAACGACCUACAAUUUGGAAUGAAAGUAGUAUAUUGCUACAGCUAGAACUAUUUAUAACUAUCAGAAAUGCCCUUAAAGGUCCCUGAAAAUGUGUUCCUCGUUCUGCUAGCACCAAAAUACUCCCAUCUAUGGCGCCGCCACCACUUGAUCUCCAUGCAAUGAGUGAUCAGAUUUGUUCGAUCCAUUUAUUGGAGGAUGGAAUGGGCUAAUGAUAUAAGGGCAUGUUUGAUGGCUCAACUGGGAUAAGCCGGAUACAUGCACAACCAUGCUCUUUGGUUGCAUGAAUCCGCAAAUACAAGAUGAACGCUGUGGAUGUUUGGUUGUCUAGAAUCUCAUGCGCGUCCUCACCUCCCAUGUACGAUCUUGCGUCCUGCGCGAGCUAGGCUGUCGAGGAACACAUCUCAUUUUCCUCUCUCUCGUGCCAGGCUCGCCACCAGAGCCUUUUGCACGCCGAGGCUCGGGCCUAGCUAGUUGUCUAGGCAACCAUACGCUCGCGUCCUGCAUUCCGCAGGCUAGGCUAGACCAUAUGCAGCUAACCGAUUGCACCCUAAGUACUAGAGACCAAAAAAAGUCAUGUGAAAAUUUGGCACCACAUGUCUAAUAUGUGCCUCUGGGCACUUUUGAUGGGUACUUUCUAAAAUCACUACCUCUAUGUAUUACACUAGUGUUUUAGCACAUUGUUAGAACAUGACUCAGAAUUGAGACUACUCAUUUUUUUGCAGUAUUCUCCAAAAUAUGAUGUAGCUUGAUUUCAAUAAGAUACACAUCAUCGAGCGAAAACAUAACCAAUAACAGGAAUACAAAAUAAUCCCUUAACUGUGUUCAUUUUCUAUUAAUGCAUUUCCACGAUUUUGCAAUUUGUGCUAAAGUACGAGUUGAGCAACCAUCCUUGCUCAAAGCAUGCACUACUUUGUCUUUAAGCUCACUUGCGCGCUUCCUCAUUCUUUCAGCUUCCUUCCCUACUAUCACACGUUGAAUUGCACUCACAAGCUCCUCUUUGCUUGUAAAUCGAUCAACUCCAACCUUGGCCCGGACUGCCACUCCGACCUGGACCUCCAACAUUGCCGCAUUCAUAUUUUGCUCCGCAUAAAGUGGCCACGCUAUCAUGGGCACACCAUUCGUAACGCUCUCCAAUAUUGAGUUCCACCCACAGUGCGUCACAAAGCACCCGACGGAUGGAUGCCCUAGUAUAGCUGUUUGUGGGGUCCAAGACUGGGUUACGAACCCCAUCCCUCUAGUUCUCUCGAUAAACCCCUCAGGCAAAAAAUCUAAUGAAAUGUCCUCACCUUUUUGAGUCCCGAAGAAUGCUCCAAUUGUUGAACUUUGAUGUGGUCUCUUGACAGCCCAAAUGAACCUACACUGACCAAGCUCCAGCCCACGCGCCAGCUCAGCCGUCUGCUGCCAUGUAAGGGUGCCACCGCUGCCAAAUGACACAUAGACCACGGAUCUACGUGGCUGCCGGUCCAGCCAUCUCAUGCAGUCAUGGUCCCUAUCCACGCCAACCGGUCUGGUCCAGACCAAUGGUCCGACCGGGUGAACUGGUAGCUCCAGACCGCCCAGACCCUCGCCCACCGCGGGCUCAAUGUCGCGGGACGUGUUCACGAGAAUGCCAUCGACUCCCUUGACAGCCUUGGCCAUGGACAAGAACCCGGCGUACGUGUCGCUGCUCCGGUCGGCGAGCAUGGAUGCCGGCAGCUCGUGAGCGUGGAUCGGCACGCAGCCAGGAAGCCGGAUGGGCUCCGUGGCGUCCCGGUGCUCCCCGGCGCGCGCCGCGUCGAUCCCGGGGAGGUGCAGGAACAGGGACAGCGUCAUCCACGGCGAGGUGAAGAACAUGUAGAACGGGACGCCCAUCUCCGCCGCGACGCCGCGCGCCGGAACGCCGACCAUGUCCACGACGAGCGCGGCGAGGGGCGCGUCCGCGGCCAGCUCCCGCGCGAGCUCCCGGACGCGCGGGAGGUUGGAGGCGACGGCGAGCUCGACGCGCGCGCGCUCGGGCGCGGAGGAGGGGAGCAAGUCAGGCGGCGGCGGGGGGAGCGCGACGAGGUCGACGGCGUCGGGGAGGGCGGCGGCCACGGCAAGGUACUGCUCCGAGGGCGGGGACGUGGCCGACGCGAAGAGGAGCGUGGCGGCGAGGCCGUGGUCGGACACGAGGCGGCGCGCGAGCUCCGCGAAGGGGAUGAGGUGGCCCAUGCACGGGCUGCACAGGAGCACCACGCGCGGCCGCGCCGUGCACGCCGGCUUCCGCUCCGGGAGGCUUCCCAUGGCGCCGCGUGACGGUGAGAGCUUGGAGUGGAGUGCUUGCGCGGCUCAGUUGUGUUCUCCUUGGAUCGGCGAUCGUCGUCAGCUUUUGUAGUCUCUCUGCAGAACACGACGAAGACUGUUGAUAACGCAUGGUCUGGUAUGUUCAAGUGAAGUUUGCAUCAUUGCUUGCGUCAUGCAUGCAAUUAUUAAGUGCCAGCUCACGAGUUUUCUAGCUUGAGGAUCGACGUGGUUAGAAAUUUCUACAGCACAGUCAAAAUGGGCAUCGAAUCGAUCGUCGACGCCGGCAGCUUAUAUGCAUGCUCGGUGAUUAAACUAAGGCCUCUCUAGACGAGAGUGAGACCGAGGACCUCGUCAAGAAGGUCUGCCACAUCGCCAUAGGAACUCCUAGGAUCCUUAAGGGCUCCUUUGGAAAUUCAAAAUCCUGUAGGGUUCCUUGUAUUUUCCUUGGAUAGGUUCUCCACGUGGUUUCGGUCUCGGACCAAAUCUCCCCGUCACUUGGGAGCCCAUGACCACGGGUUCAUCGCACCCUAUCCGCGGCUUUUCCCUGGACGAGCCCUCCCCACCUCUCGGGUCCGGACGCCGCAACCCAGUCUCACCGCAACUCGCGAGCGAAGCACCGCGACGGAGCCAGUGGGCAGCGCCGCCUCCCCGUCCACUCCACCACGCCGCCUCUCCGACCAAGCGCCGCCUCUCCUCCGCGUCCUUGUCUCCGUCCCCGUCCAGGCGUUGCUGCCCCUUCACGUCCCCAUCCCUAUCCAGGAGCCGUCGCCGUCGCCGUCCCCGUUGCCUCCUCGUUUGCCUCCUCUGCAAUCCGAAUCUACAACAACACCACCUCGGCUGCCUCCUUUGCAAUCCGGAUCCACCACGGCACCUCCACCUUCUUGGAUUUGUGAGUUCUCCCCUUUCCUCAUCUCAGACUCAGAUUGUCUAGGGUUUGUCCAUGGUGCCUCCACGAUAUUGUUGUAGAUCUGGAUUGCAGAGGAGGCAAACGAGGAGGCAUCGGGGAUGGUGGCGGCUGCUGCUCCUGGAUAGGGAUGGGGACGUGAAGGGGCAGCAACGCCUGGACGGGGACAGGAUGAGGACGCAGAGGAGAGGCGGUGUGGUGGAGUGGACGGGGAGGCGGUGCUGCUCGCUGGCUCCGUCGCAUUGCUUCGCUCGCGAGUCGCAAGUUGCGGCGAGACCGGGUUGUAGCGUUCGGACCUGAGAGGUGGGGAGGGCUUGCCCGGGGAAAGCUGCGGAUAGGGUGCGACGGAGCCGUGGUCGUGGGCUCCCAAAUGACGGGGAGAUUUGGCCCAAGAUCGAAACCCGCAUGAAGGGCCUAUCUGGGGAAAAUACAGGGAUCCCUGCGGGAUUUUGGGUUCCCAAAGGAGCUGUCGCAGGGAACGAGGUACGUUCCCUGAACCGGGAACUUUCAUCCCAAACGAAACGAAAGUUAUGGUUUGCAGAGGGUAUGUCGUCCCCCUCGCCUCAUUAGUCGUGGUGCUCCUGAUCCUUGCACUCGUAUAAGAUAAGUUAUAUUUGAUUGAAUAUGUAUGUAAAUGACAAUUCAAUAGUAUAUUUAUUUCUUUUAUUCUUCUUUUCUUAUUUUUUCUCUAUUUUUUAACCUAUGUGAAGCUCGAUAGUAUGUCGUCUUGAAAAAAUAACAGGUUCACGUUCAUAAGUAUUGAACCAUCGUCCUAAAGAAGUAUACCUUCUUUGCUGGAAAUUUGAAUGUGUCGAUUCACGUUACGUGUACCCGUUUCGCGAUCCAAUCGUACCGCGCGAGAAUGCGGUGACACUCAUCCUUAUCCUUCCUCCUCGUCACCUUGCGGCAGCUCGAGUUGGCUGCGUGGACAACAUGGGACGAGGAGGCACGCUGUCCUGUCAGCACCAAAUCGAUUAUGCCGAGGAAACAAUCAAGCGACCUGACGCGACUAAAGCUGGGGCGCAGCAUAUUUGGCGCAUGCUCCGAGAGAAUGAGACGUCUACCAAUGUUGUUGUUGGGUUGCAUGUUUCUUUCUUUCUUUUUUAAACGAAGGUUGCAUGUUCCUUGAUUCGGGCCUGCUAGACCGGUUCUUACCUAAUUGGCCCAUGGACGAGGUAUGGCCCAUGUUUUAUAUGUUCUGACACUUAAUUUUUUUUUCAGCCAUCUAGUUAGUUCAAGAUCUGUGUAUGGUUCGGAUUAAACGUGAGCUAUCAAAAUUCAUGAAUUGGCGAGCCUUCUAAAACUCUCGGGGUGUUCUUUAGAUUUCUUUGAGUUAACUUUAAAUAAAGUUUUCCGAAGAAAAGUCACGCACACGAGAGGAAAGAGAAAAGUAAGGAAAAAUUGUUUUAUAUGCCCAAUGGGCUGACCGAUUGUCAGGUCAUAGAGAGAGGGAGGGAGUCGGUUAAGGUUAACCGGCUUGUCCAAAAAUUAAAGAACCGGCCCACCACGACCCUGAGUUGUAAGUUUGCAAGGUCUCCUUGAAGCGCGUAAUUCGUAUGGAACUCAGCGUUUGAAUUCGAACUCCGCCUUGUUUGUAAUCGUAUUUCCUGUAUAAUAAUACUCCUGGAGCCCCUAUGUGUUUAUGCACGUAACUAGUUUCCGUUCUGGACGUCGCCGGUGCAAGUAGGCGAAGAAGAAGGCACACCAUGUCGUCGUGUUGGUCCUCGGUGCUGGCCGUCCUCUGCGGCCGCGCAGGCGCAGCGGAGCCGGACGGCGUGAAGAAGGGGGAAGAGGAGAGCAAGGCGGCGAUGCUGCACCGCCGGCUGCUCGACGGCUGGGCGGCCGCGGCGGCGGCGGAGGAGGAGGUCAAGAAGCUGACGGCAGAGGUGCGGGCACUGGAGCUCGCGCUGGCGGAGGCGGGCGGCGCGCGGGAGGCGGCGGAGGCGAAGCGGCGGGAGGCGGAGGCGCGCGCCGAGGCGGCGGAGGCCGAGCUACGGGCGGCGGCGGAGCUGCACGAGGCGCAGGUGGAGAAGCUCCGGCGCGCGCUGGACGCACAGGAGGACAGGGACGCGCGCAUCAGGGAGCUCGAGGAGCGGAUACGGGAGCUCAACAACGCCCACAGCAAGUGGCGCUUCUUCUAGUCCUAUACUUCUAUAUCGUCCCCGGUUGAUUAGUCUUCUUUUGUUGUGUUGCCCUGCGCUGUGAUCUAGGAGUACUCAAGAGAAGAUUCUGUUUUUUUACUGAACAAGAAGGGAGGGAAAUAAAGAAGUUAUUACUCCGUUCUAAAUUAUAGUACUAGUUUUUGAUGCACCUAGAUGAACCUAUAAAAUCUAAAAUGACGUACAAUUUAAAACGGGAAGAGUACAUGUUACGCAACACUAUAUCGUCGUUAACUUGCUAGUAUCGAAAAAAGCACGAACUUGUGUUUCUGAAAUUGCUAGCAUGUGUGUGCAUGACGACGUUUCUUGUUAAUUGUUUCAUGCCAGAAGCCUAGACAGAUUUAUCUUUUAAUAUAAAAGACGAACUUAAAAUGCGACGAGUCACGCAGUUAUCGAUCUUCCACUCGCUUUUUUCUGAUCUGCAGUACUUUGAAUAUAAAAGGCUACUGAAGCUCUCGUUAGAUUUCUUAAGCUUUUGCCUCGCGAUAGUACUAAACACUUGAUAAAUUUCGAUCGGAUUCGUAUAUAAGCUGAAGGCGCAUGGACAGCAGUAGCAUCGAAGCGCAACCAGUUAAACCAGGAUUACUUCUAUAAGGCCACUGCAAAUAACUGGCAUCAGAAGCUCAGUUUACAGCUUGGAAACAAAAUACACAUCCGCAAAUUGCAAUUAAGCAUAUGCAGUGCUAACCACUUGCUAGCUAUAUGUUACUACAAAUAAACCAGUACCUUUAAACCAAAGGUACACACUUGUACCAUUAUAAGCAAUUUACUGCCUUGUCCUCCCCACUUUGCUGCUGUGAAGUACUACUGCCGGCGGGAACUGAUUCCACAUCCAGUUACUGAACUCUACUAUGUGGUAUUAUGACCGAAGAGAACACCAUCUAACUCUAGUGUUCAUUGAUCCAGUACCAUCUUCAUAACAAGAUCAUUCCACGCAUCAAUAGGUCCCGGUACACACCAGUGCAAGCAAUCAUUCUGAAUGGAUGCAGCGUCCUUGCUGUCCUUUGCAAACGGAUAGGGUGUUCGGUAAGGCCCAACGUGGCCGUCUGGUCUCAAGAAUGAGAGGCUGUAAGUAUCCAUGAGCUCCAGUCUCUCCACAUCUACAGAACCCCUCAAUGCAGCUGCAGCCUUGUUAAACUCUUCAAGUUCAAUUGCCCUCAUGACGCGUUCGUUGUACCCCUCCCGGUACUCUCCCUUCUUGAAGGGUGUCACCCUAUUACAAGAUCCUCCAUUGAACCACUCACCAUUCUCGAAGUGAUCAGGCGACCAGGUCCUGAAGAAUAUAACUGGCUUGUGUUUUGCUGAGGUGAUGAAGCUGAAAACCUUUUGGAGAGUUUUACGAUACAGGUGCUCAAAGCCAAGUUCAACCAGGUUCUUGUUUUGACAAUAAUGACAGCCCACCACUGCACCCUUCUCCCAGUAGACUGCUGUCCUAAGAAACCAUUGUCCGCCGGAAAUAAUAACAUAGUCAAAACUCUCAUACUGACUCGUCCAGCUAGCAUCAAGUAUGUCAAGGUGGAGCUGGAUUUCAGAGGUAGAUUCGCCAUUCUCAUUCUCAAAAACAUCAGAUCUGAUGAGGAAAGGAGCCCAAACAAUCGACACUGUGAAGUUGUAGGAUUGGAAGUGCCAUCUCCUGUUCUUGAAUUCCUUAUCAUGGUAAACCAUGACAGGUUCUUCAGCCUAAACAAACAGCAAGCAGAUCUCCUCAGGAUAAUAUAUCACUACAAGUGAAAAGGAAAAAGAAAAGGAAAAACUAAAGCAAUCCCACAAGUUUUCCUGAGAGCAAGCAGACCACCAAUAUUAUAUUAUAUUAUAUCAGGAAAGGGAAUAAAAUAGCGAAAACCAAAGCAGGAGUGAAUAUUUCCAAUUUUGGCACCAUCGGAAAAGAAGCAUAUGACUAGCAGUGCAUAUAGUCUUGUAUAAAAGUACCUGCUAUCAAGUUAAACAUCAUAUCUAACAUUUCAGAGUGCAGCUACAAAGGAAAGAAGAGUAAAGUUUCAUUUUUGUGAAAAUUCCCAUCACAUUCAAACAUAGAUGUACGGAAUAUGUAUAGACAACAUGAUGGUCAAUGGACGGUAGGGUACUGCAUGACAUGAGAAAGUAAAGUUGGUAGCAUUUACCUUAGACAGAAGGCAGAGCAAUGACUGAACUUGGUUGCGAAGAAUGGAGUCACCAAUUAGUCCCCAAGCUUUGUUUCUCAUAGAAUCUAGAAAUCUGACUGCAUCAAAUGGUGGAAGAUCACAUCCAUAAGGUUUCCACUUCCAAUGUAGAUAUCCCUUGUCAGGUCUACCAUUCAUCAUACAGUUCUGGUGACUGUCAAUAAACCGACAGCUUGCAUUUGUAUAGGCUGGGCCAGAUGGGUUCGGUAUCCAUUCCCCACUGAAAAGAUUACAUUUUCCUAUACAAGCAACACCUCAUAUCAGAUACUAGAAACAAGAACAACAAUGAAUAUAACAUUUUUAGUUUACUCAUAUUUUUUCUCCUUUCAUGGUCCUAAAAUUUAGACCAACAACCCUCUAUGGAUAUCUAGAUCUUGUAUAAAAUUAAUCAUUGUAUGGGAACAAAAAUAACCGACAAAUUGACUCAUCUCAAAUUACUUUCACAUAAUGAUAACUUUAUUAGGACUUCAAAAACUACAUGCCAAAAUUAGAUUUCAGAACCAUUUCAAUCUACAAAAUGGAUUAGGGUGUUGAAAAGUGCCACCAAUGCAGAGUUGCAGAACACCUCAAAGAGGUGGACGCCUGAUGGACAGUAUUUGGCAAAGAAAACAUAGGUAUAGAACAGCACAAAAUGAUCAACUAAAGCUGGCAUCAAUCAAAUCUGGAAGAUAAAAAAAUGAAUAAAUGUGUUUUUUUGGCAUGCUUAUUACAGCAUGAUAGAAUUCUAAUGGCAGACAACUUAACCAUAUGAGGCUGUCACAUUUUGAACUCCAUAUGACUAUGCCCAUAAAAAAGGAGUGGUCAGCUAAAAAAACAUUAGUAAUACUAACUUUUCAUUAAAAUCUUGGCAAAAGAUUAAAACGCACUGCUUCCUUCUGUUUCUUCUCCGAUACAAUUACAAAAGAUAGAGCUAAAAUAUACCUAUUUGAACACUAAUCACUUGUCUGGGAAUCAAUUGGAAUAUAGGAAUGCAUAGGUGGGGCAAAACAAAUAUAGCUCCUAGUUCUCGAACAGCUCAGCCUUUGGUGGUUUUCCCACCAAAAGCGUCUGAAAUCAAGCUCUUGAACAGUUAGCAAACUCCGAGAUCUCCACUAAAUCCUAGUAUUUCAUUAUUUUUCCAUUUCCUAUUCAUCAGAGAGAAUAUAUUCAGAUUACAGCAGGGAAGAAAAUAAAAGUACCCAAACAGCAGUCUAAAAGCUCCAAUCUUUCGACGAAAUGGGAUCAAGCCACAAUUAACUCUUAAUUUAAUAAAUUAAUCCCCGAUAAAGGCCCAAUUUCUUUUCUUAGCAAGUUCAGGAUAUUGCUACGUUCUAGCAUUGAGGCCCAAGAAAAUCGCCACCAUUACCAUCAAGAUUCACUGAUUCAGAGAUACAGGAACCAAGUCCCCGAAUCUCGCAAUCACAGAACCCCCGCCCGAAGGUGUUAAACCCUAAGAUUCCACAUCAGGGUAACAGCUAACAACCCUUAAAAACAGCAGAGAGAGAUUAAAUCCCGCACCUUUGCUGACCUGCAGCGCCGGCGCCGGCGAGGGCGGGAAGGAGCAGAGCACCCGGAACAAGAGGCCGGCGAGGAGCAGGAACCCGACGGCCUUCACGGCCAAUGGCCUUCCCAGCGCCCACCAUUUCCCCGCGCCGCGGCCCCACGGCGACGGCGGCGACGCCGACCACCACAUCGGGCUCGAACCCAUGCUCCAGCGCGGAGCGGACUGCAGAGCAGAGGAGCUUGAGAGGGAGACAGGAAAGGCGAGUCACGAGUGUGAGUGUGACCGACAGCGUCCGAGCUUUAGGGGAGAGACGGCGACGUGUCUGCUGGAUGAUGUCGGCGUGGCGUUGCGGAGUCGGCGACGAUGCGUGGUGGUUGAUCCGUUUGACUGGUGUAGUCGGUGCGCCACUGCGAAACGUAAAGUAGCAGUGAGAGGAUCUAUUUGGGAAUGCUGUAACUUUUUUUGUUAAAUUUCGGGUAGUGUACUAGUGUGUACUGGGUAGGAGGACGGCUGUAUACGGUUGACUGGAGAUACAUUGGAUCUAGCUAAACUGCUGAAGUACAAAAAUAUUGUUAUACGUACUCGUGGGAGGGAUUCUUGUGAUCACAUCAGAUAGAGCUCGAGGAUGGGCUCGUGCUCGUAGGCUAAACCAGUCCUCUUUAGCUUAUUUUUCAAAGUGGACAAUUUAAGCAUAGAGUUAGAAGUUAUUUUAUAUUAUUUUAUAAUAUUAGGUGGGUCUUUCUUAGAGACAUGAUCCUCCCUCCUAGAUUAUAGAUCGUUUUAGCUUUUCUAAAUUCAUAGCUUUGUUAUACACUUAGAUAUACCCUAUGUCUAGAUGCAUAAUAAUAUCUAUGCAUUUAGAAAAGCCAAAACGACCUAUAGUUUGGGACGGAGGAAGCAUUAGCCAUAACAAAUAAAAACAUACUCAAGUUAAUGAUCUAUAUUUUUUAUUUUAAUUUUUUUUAGAAUUUAUCUUUUUUCUUCUACCGUAUCUCAUGAGGUUAACGUGGAGUGGUAGAAAGAUGGGAAAUACCACACGCAGAUGAGGUUGGGUGACCUUGACACGACUUGGAUUAAAAGUCAUGUACAACAACUAUGCAUCUUUAACACCUGCUCGUAAUCACAGUUGAUGCAAAAACUAAGUCUAAAGUUACUGAACAACUACAUAGCCAAGCUUUUAAAUUAUGAUGUCCGCGAACUCGCAAAUUGUCCCAAAGUGUCCUCGUGCAUGCAAUCAAUCUCGAUAUGCUUUCAUACGAUGGUAGUGAAUAGUUGUUGUCGUAUAGAUAGCACUGGCAACGGACAAAACUUUGUGAAGGCAAUUGGGUGGUGGAGCUCUUGAAGAAGUUGUUGCAGCAGCACCACUCAGCAACAUCGCAAUAACAUGGGUAACAACGGAGAACUCCGGCUUUACACUAGAACGUAAGACUACGGUAAAUAUAGUAUAGCCAGAGGUGAAGUGCAUGUGUCACCCCCUCCCCGGCCCAUGGCUGGCUGUAGCAAUCGACCCCAAGCUGGACUAGGGCGGCCUUAAUAGCGGCACUGAAUAAGAUGUAGCUCCAGUCCAACUCUAGGUCCUCGAUACUGGUGCUACCUGGUACACGGAUGGUAUACUCCUCUAUAAUAUCAUGAAAAGAGAUAGAGAGAUGGAAAAACACCGCACAUUCAUAAAAUUAAGCAACCUUUCGUAUAUACAACCGGACAUGGUUUGGAUUAUAAUUAGAUCAUGGACAAUAACUAUAUUAGAGUUAAAAAACUUCCAAUUAUCCACGAAAUAAAUUGAGAUGCAACUUGCAUGCGGACGCGAUUAGAGCGAGGUAAACUAAUCUCUCUCCCCAUGAACUUACACGAUAAAAAAAUCAGCACAAAAUCCAAUAAAUCCUCUCCAAGCAAGACCUCUCGCAUACGCUACAGCCCGCACAGAGGUGGACCUAGCCAAGAGCUUAAGGGGGUCUGAAGUAUUCUUCUUCCUCUUCCCCCACCUCCUCCUCUCUCUUCAUCUUCAUCUCCUUGCUUCCCAUGCUCCAAUGGAAGCUCCAGCCAGUAGCGGGGGGCUGUGGCCCCAGCCCGCCUCCUGGAUCCACCACUGAGCCUACAGACUACAGCCGCUUGGAGAAGAAUAUAUAGGUCUUGAUGCAUCUUUGCCUCACUUUUAUGAAUGAUUCUUCUCUAUCUGAAUGUACUUAUACUAGUAUACUCCUACAAUUGUACAAAUACCUUACUCUCCCUGAUCUGAAUGUACUAAUACUAGCAUACUCCUACAAUUGUACAAAUACCCUACUCUCCAUCACCACAGAGCUGGUGCAAUUUGGACUUCGCAUUGAACCUAGUCGUGUGGGGGUUUGAAAGAUGUCUUAUAGUGGCACAAAGGGAUCGUGUACAACGAACCUGGACACCCCUCUUCAACUUUAGCAUUUGGGUAGUUUUUGAACUUUUUGGGAUUUGGGAAUAUGAGUCAUCGAUUCUCUGGUGUAUUCUCUUCUGAGCUUUCUUUUCUUUUUCUUUUUUGCCUUUAAACACAAUACUUUCUCUUUUUUUCUAAACACAAUACUAAAGCAUACACAUACAUACAUGUACCUACGGCCAUUUUUAUAGGCGUACGCACACACCGCUUCUAAAUAACUUUCGAGUGACUGAACCGGCAGAUGGUGCUUACCAAGAAAAGAUGAAAAAAAGGGAGAUUAUCUCGGCUCGUUUAGCUUCUCCGGGUUAAUCAAACAUCAGUAGCACAUCUCAUGCAACUAUAGGGCAGCUGUAACAAAUAAAGCUGUAACAAAUAAAUUUCCUAUCUGCCUCUAUAACUGAAUUUGCAGAGAUAAACAACGCGUCAGAGCACUAUUUUUUUUGGAAGGAAAGCAUCAGAGCAGUACCAGGUACAUAUUGUACCUCACAAGCAACAAUGCAUUUAUCAGGUACAUCUGAAUGACUGAAACCAAACAUUCACUCAAGGUAAUCUCACACGGUAUGCAGCUAGCUGCGCCUAGCUUUACCAUCCACUUCACAUACAUGUUUCUACCCUAUACCGUGCUAGGCAUAAGCUUUUUGAUCCGGCCAUCGGACGAUCAGUGUGAUUAACACAAGUUGAAUGAACAAGAAAGAAAUGUUGCGUGGCAGAAAUCGAGCGAUGACGACACAAUCACACAACACAGCCAGGGCUCUGAUGGAGAAGGGAAUUUGCAGGCUCGGCGCUUUUGGCCCAUGCGGCUUUCUGCGAUUCGGAGCUCUCACACACAGAUCGACCAGAGAGGCCUCACGAUAUUCCCUUCGCACGCUCCAGCUUCUAGUUAACCUAGACCGCAUCACGGCCAGGUGCAUUGCCAACUCCAUCCACGCGCUAAAGUCCACGUACAGGCGGUAUCGAGCAGCCUGCUCUUCACUAGCAGCCUGCUCUUCACUCGCUUCAGUCUAGCUAGACUUAUAAAUAGCAGCAAGAAGCUCUGAGCUCAUCAUCACGGUUCAAGGAUUAAACAAGUAAGUGGUUCAAGGGAAAUGGAGUGAGUAAGAGUCCUAAUUGGUUGGUUGUCACCUGGAGUUCUCCUCAAACUACUUCACUUGCAGGAGCUACACCUAGCUCGUUUCAUGGCAUACUACUGUUUGCAUUUUUGUGUGCAUGGGGCCAGAGCUGUGCACACACAUGGUGAAGUGUUUGGAGGAACUCUGGGUGGCAAGCAGCAACUUUUGUUAGGUGAGAAAGUACAGCAUUUACUUUGGAGAUAUUACUAAACCAGCAUCUGAUAUUAGAUUAUUGUGGGAAAGAAUUUGGUUUGGUGUCACCCUAGGAGUUCUCUACAAGCACUUCACAAGGCACUGUUUUGGGAGCUUUUGUGAAGUGUUUGAGGGAACUCUCGGUGUCACUGAGCAUUUACUUAGAUCUUGAUCAUGUGCAUGCGAGAUGAGUAAACAAUGAACCACGUUUGGUGUUAUUACCAGGAGUUCCCUACAAGCACUUCAUGAGGCCUUAGCUUAUUAAGGGAUCUUGUGAAGUGUUUGGGGGAACUCUCGGUGUCACCAAGCACCGAGCAAGAAUAAUGUAUUGGAGUCACGUGAAUACCAUAUCAGAUGCAACAGGGAACAAUGUUUGGUGUUACCAUGAGUUCCCUUCAAACACUUCACAUGCUGAGGCACCAUUCAGAUUACUCCUUAAGAGUUUCAUGUGCAAUGUGAAGUGUUUGGGGGAACUCUUGGUGGUACUCAACAUGCAAAUAAGUCUAAGAACAGUGAUUCCCAACACUCAUGUGAGUUUUCAAAUCCCUACUCUUGCAUCAUAUACGGUUGCAUGCAUGCACAUACAUGUAUGUCUACUCUAAUUUAUCUCUAUUUUGACAUUUACUAAAUGUGCCACUAGCUAGUGUUGUUAGAGCCUGCAUUUAGUUGCAUUAGUCACUCAUGUUAAGUCAAUACCUAUAUAUAUAAAGCUCUAGUUACUUUCUAUUCAUGCAGGCAAAAGCGGUUUUAGUUUAGGAAAUCAGGGGUUAAUACAUGGUUUUAUACUUUAGGGGUUAUCUAGACUUGGAUUGGAGGGAGUAAUUUGGAUUUUUUUUCCCCUUGUAAUUAUUUGUCACUGCUUCAGUUUGUUUGCAUCCCUACAUCCACCCAUGAAGUUAGCUCAAAUUGAAUGAGUUCGACUCAGUGACACAACAAAAGCCAAACCUUUCUUUUUUGAAAGAUAGAAAAAGCAAAACUUGCAUCCCAGUUACUGCUUACUAGGGCAUGCAAGUAGCCGAGUGAUUACUAAACUUGCGUAGGUUCCUUUUUUUUAUUUGUACUGUACUAGCAUGCUGCCAUAUGCUAGGACUAGGAAUGACUAUUGUGCAACCGAAAAUGCUUGAACACAAAUUAAAUGUCCGAUGCAAACAGAACUUCGAACGCUCAGGCGUCAGCCCACGGAUCGGAACGACAUCAGGCGUCAGCCCACGGAUCGGAACGACAUCAGGCGGCUGGCAAUUUAGCUGUGAGUUCACGAAUAACCCAUCGUCGUGCAUCUUCUCUCCUGCUGCUCUCUCUUCUUCCCCAAAAAUGUUUUCCCGUGCUCUGCUUUAUUUCCAGGCCCCGAGCAUGUGCUCCUGCUCUCCGAUGACCUUUCUCCAUCAAGCGCUCUCUCUAGCUCUGCACUGUCGAUUUGCAAGCGGAGGUAAAUAGGGUGGCGAAGCCAUCGCACGCUCGGUGGAGUACCAGAACGAUGAAAAAGAGCACCGAGAGGCAGAGACGAUGACCGCAUGAGCUUGAAAGCCACGACAAAAGUGGUGCCAACUGAAGCUCAGAAGCCAUGGUGUCGGAGUGGACUGGGAAUGGCGUUGCUCACUUGGUGGAGCACGAGCACCUCUUCUCAGAGCUCUGGCCUAGUCGAUGCAUCUGCUCUUCUGGUCCUGCUGCUGGCCAAGCAUUGCUCUCCAAGGAAGAUCGAUCCUGUUAAGUUGCUAGCGUGGGGGUAUAUAUGCUUCAUUAUUUUUCCCCGAAUUUUGCUGCAAUGGGACAUUUGAGAUGAUGAGAUUAUAUUGUAUUAUGUCAUCAGUGUUGUAAUAACCAACGGUAGUUGCAACAUUUUGAUUUGAUGCGUGAAACAUUCAACAACAUAUGCAACAUUAGGAUUUUUCAUGAUCUUCAUUAUUCAGAUAGUUCACUUGGUCUGUUCCAUGUUGUGUUUUGGUGUGGUGCCAUCUCUCUCUCUAUAUAUUUAUAUAUUGCAAUAGCAUGCUUUUUUUGUUGCGAGCAGAGGCAAACCUGACAACCAGAGGGCUCUCUCCUCACGUUUUGUGUGUGUUGUGGCGAGGGGGAGGGGGCGCAAGCCCCCAUGGUGGAUCCGCCCUGGUAGUGUGUUUUAUUUUUUCUAAUCAUUUAGUGAUGCACAUGGAUGAUAGCUAAUGAUUUUGUUGGGCUAUUGGUGACAUAACUCUUCCAAUUAAAUUAGCAUGGAAGUGUCCUAGCUAAUAGCAAAUAUCCAAUCUGAUAGAAGCAUAAAGUAUAAAGUAUAGGACGAACACUCGAUCUUUUUUUUUAUUUUUUGUGAAAGAGUGAAAGACACAGAGUCUCAUAUCCUAUAUUUAUCAAGAAAUACAAUAACUAGUAAAAAGAAUACAUUUUGACACAAAUUUUAGUUGCUUGGUGCAGCAGGAGCUUGUCUCCAACCAUCUUUAAAAACAAACUAAAAGGAAAUACUGCAGCAGAAGAGGAUUUACCAGGAGGCAAGAGUCCAAGAUCCCUCCCAUAUAGGGAAGUAUUUUAGGACUAUUUAUUUGAGCUUCCUAGAACCUUCUCAGCAUGAAAAAUUAGAAAUUCAAACAAACAUUGAACUUCUCAUGCAGCUUUCGGAAAGUUGGAAGUCUAAAAAAACUAAAUUUAUAUAAAAAGCUAGAAAGCUCAGUUUUAUGAGCUUUUUGAGCUUUCGGAGCUCAAGAAGUAAAUACAUCGUCUAAAAACUCUAACAAUAGUUUUAAAAAAACCCUCAAAAGCUGCCACUCAGACCCUGCUGCAGCAUUGGACAUGUUUUGUCAUCAUCGAUAUUGUAGGCCCAAAUGGCAACCAUUUCAAAUAAAUCUUAGAUACAGCCCAAGACAGGGAGCUUGGUAAUUUCGCACGCAAUAGGCUAGUAUUUGGGCUUGACUUUUAGCUGGAACUAAAUUAGGCCCAUGUUUGACUUAGGCUUGGGCUGAGUUGAGUUCCUUGCUAAACUUAUGGAAACGUUAUCUUUUUUUUUUCUUGUUAGCUUAUAAUAAAUCACUUCUUAUUUGUAAGACCUAACCAGAUAUUCUACAAAAAUGCGUGCGGUGCGUAUAAUGCAUAUCUUUAUAUGUCCAAAGUAUAAUUUUUUUUAACUUUGGAAGCAUGCGGUGCGUAGUGUGCUAUCGCAAUAUUCAGAGUUGGCGGUGAGCAGGGUUAGAGUUAAGGAGAGGAUUUACCAAGGCCCCUCAAAUGUAAGCAGAACUGCUACCGAUGGAAUUUCAGGAAUCCAAGUUUCAUGUAAUUUACUUGUGUUAGAAAAAGUAUUUGUUUUAAAAUAUAAUAAUAUCUAUCAAUCUGACCUCAGGAUCACAAUAUUUUUCAUCUUGUAGCACAAUAUACGAAACAAUACCAUGAAAACCAAGGAACACGAGUUAGGAAGAAUAUUCAGAUAGAAAAUACCAUUUCACUUGACAAAAUGUACUUUCUGAAGUAGAAUAUCCCAGUCCACGAAUCCAUAUCUGGAAAAGAAAAAAGGAGAGGGGAAAAGCACCCUCGCUCGCAUGGGCCUCCUGGUCCAGCUCCCCAACCUCGCCGGCGUCCGGCGCCCGGCCGCCGCCGCCGCCUUCCCCCAGAGCUGCCGCGGCGGUCGCCUCACGGUAUCCGCCGCGGCGCCCGGCGGCCGCGUAAAGGAGGAAGAGGCCAAGGGGGCGGGGAAGAAGGAGAAGAUUGUGAUUAGAGUCUCCGACCCGGUGCGGGAGAGGAGGCUCCCGCCGCCGCUGUUCUCCGCACCGGACGAGCCGUCGGAGCGCCCACCGGGUCCGAAGGAGGGAGGGGGACGGGGUGACCAGGACGGCGAGGAGGCUAAGAAGCAGUACUACGUGAACAUGGGGGACGCCAUCCGCACGCUGCGGGAGGAGCUCCCCGUCGUGUUCUACCGGGAACCCAGCUUCGACAUCUACAGGUUUGCGCGAUUUCGCCCCCCUCGUCUUUUCCGUUAUCUCAAGCUGCUUCCAGAGACAAUUGCAGUGAAUUGUUGUCAAUGGUCGAUCCAUUUCUUGUUUGUAUGUUCCAUUGAGUGCCGGAAAGGUGUGGUAAAAUGGUUUUUUCCCCUUUAGUACCAUCUGCUUCGCCUAGACGAAUUAGGGAAGAAAUGGUGAAGAUUUGUUGUUUGUCGAGAUGCUCAUAGGUCGAAUUGAUAAGAAGGGUUGUGAAUAUUUGCAGGCUAUGUAUAACCAGCCAUAGAUUAAAUUUACCUGCCCUUUGGUAUCCGCUGGCUGCUGCUGGCAAAUAUAGGCUUGGUGUUUGUCCUGGUUGAGGUAAGAUGAGCAUAAUGUCUCUUAAAGAUGCAUGGUGGUUUUUACUUCGAUUAAAUUGGCCCACUUUGAUUAUCCAUUAGUCUUGCCUGCUUUGGUUGUAGACUAGAAAGUACUGUGAGCAUGGGUAUUUUUCCAAUUCCAGUCAAUUGCCUCCAUGAACUGCUAGAAUAUAGAGCAUAGGCUUUGUCAUAUGAGUGAGAUAUCUGAAUGUGUUAAGCAUCUAACGACCACAUAAUUUCCAACUUAUUGCACCCAAUAAGAAGGUUAUACAUUGGCAGUGGGAUUCAAUGGUAGUCUCUACUUCAUAUAUAGUUAAUCUGAGAAUUAAAAAAUGUAACGUGUAGGGUAUAAAUAUGAAGUCAUUUCCAAUCAAGCAGUCUGUUUGAAAAUCAGGAAUUUGUAGAGGUUGUAAUCUUCUAUAAGACACGAGGUGUCAUCAGAAAUUAAUACACACCCUUUCACUUGAAAAGAAACUAAUAUGUUGACCUAUGAACUGAAACCCCUUAUAAAGAAUGACAUCAUUCACUCAGUAAUGUUUUUUUUCCUCGAAUACACAGGAGCUGUGUAUCAUUUCAUUAAAGAAGAUAACAUUCACUCAAUAAUUAAGUAGCACCAAUAGAAAUUUGAUAUAAAAUUGUUAUGGAUGACAUAUGGUGCUGAGCCUUGCGGAUGGCAUGGUGCUGAGGCCGGCGGAUGGCAUGGUGCCGAGGCCUGAGGCAGACAGCUAACCCGACAUUGUGGCGCGGCAUUGGGAGAACGGUGGCUCUAGGGAAGAGCAGAAGCGAGAUCGAUUCGGAACGAUCAAUCUGAUACCAUGAAAAUGAGAACAGAAAGAGAGAGUUUGGGAAAAGCACACUGCACAAUCUGUGUGGGCCUUACCUUUCAUUAUAUAGCCAUAUACGGCUACAACAAAAAAGAUAGAGAUACCAAUAUACAAGGAAGGAGAUUAGGCCAGGAAACCAACUAACAGGCUAGGCGUGUCUCCUGUACAACUAAACAUGUGCAUGUUAACAAAUAGAAUAAGACACAUUGAAAUUGGAUGAACAUAAUCUUUCUUUCAAUACUGUUUUUCCUUUCUUCAAUAUAAUUGUAGUUUAAUUAAUUGGAACACGGAAGAUUGAAAAGUAAUAACCCACAUAACCAAAUGAAGGGCAUGUCAUCCAGAUUGGAAGGAUAUAAAAGUUGAUGCUAACUUUUUGCAUCCACAUUUUCUAGUAUUUGGUCUGUACGAAACUAUUUGUUCGUUAGUCAAGUUGAGUUCAGUAUUUUCGUCAGCCAACGAUUAGUUCGACUCUUCAGUUGGCCUGGGUGUGUGGUGUUGGGUUUGCUGUUUUUAGACUUUGCUCUCACUCCUCAUACAAAGGCAGAUCUCCUGUUGGUUCAUGAAAAAAAGGGCAUCCAAAGCCGAACUUUUCCCUUGGGUCUGAACUCUGAACCCAUCAGGUUUGCUGGAGAGCCUUGUCAUAAUCACUUCCUAAUUUUACCUAGAAAAGUAUUAUUGCACACCCUGUCCAUUCUUCUGCAACAAGGAAGUAGAGCAAAAUGACAAGAAACAGAGCAGCUGGAACAGAGAGGAAAAGGAGGGAGAGAGGGGUGUGCUGGCAAAGAAGAAUGAUAAUUCAGACAUGGGCAAAGCCAGAGAGAUAGAUGGAUAGAUCACUUUGUUUACUUACAUUGCAUACUUAAUUUCCUAACAGUCGAAUCUACACAAACCAACUACCAAAGAUAUUAAGACCCUGAAUCUAAAAUGUCUCAAAUUCUCAAGGUAACUUCCUAUCAAACUAUCAGAAUAAACUUAUACUAUAUUAUCUGGUGUGCUGCUGCUGGGGCCCACAUGCACAAGGAUGCUCUUAUUAUUCCUUAGUCCUAUAACAUUGCUAUGAGUUACUUAUUCCUGGUACUGAGAGUAUUCACUAGUAACAUUUUCUGACCGAAAACUCUGAGGAAAAUCCCCACAGUGAGAUAAUUUUUAGUCUCAUGACACUGCUAUGAGCUACUUAUCACUGGUUAUGAGAAGCUUGUUAAUGUUGUCAUAGUAUGAAAUGCAAGCUUAUGUAGUUUUGUCAACUAUGGCACACGGGAGUACCUGAAAUUGUAGAAAUUGUUGGCAACCUUUUUAUGCUCUUGACAGUAUUUUAUAAUGGUUAAUUAUGGCAUGUGCUUAUGCACCAGUGAAUACUUUUAUAUACCCUGGCAUAUAAUAUUCAUUUCUGUUGGCUUAUUGUUCAAUAAUGUUUCCGUGCUAACAUAUCUUUUACUGUCCCCAGAGAUGAUAUUGUCUUAAAAGAUCCUCUCAAUAAUUUCAAGGGCAUUGUUAAUUACAAAAGAAUAUUUUGGGCACUGCGGUUUACCGGCCAAAUUUUCUUCAAGGCGGUGUGGAUUGACAUUGUCAGCAUAUGGCAGCCUGUUGAUAAUGUAAUCAUGAUUCGAUGGAUUGUCCAUGGCAUCCCUAGAGUUCCAUGGGAGGGCAAUGGCCGCUUUGACGGCACCUCUGAGUAUAAGUUGGAUAAGAAUGGGAAGAUCUAUGAGCAUAAGGUGGACAAUAUUGCCAGGAAUUCACCAACAAAGUUCAAGAUCUUGCCUGUUGUUGAGCUCAUAAGAUCACUUGGAUGUCCAUCUACUCCGAAGCCAACAUAUUUUGAGACAUCAUGUCUAUCUUUGAUUCACUGCCGUUAUUUUGGCUGAGUUUGACUUGGAUGAGAUGUAACUGAUGCUAGAAAAUUUAGCAAACGAGCAAAGGUUAAGGUCCGACCUGAUGUCUCCAAAUUUUGCCGGUAAUGCACUUCAUCUACUUACCAAAAUGAGCAGCAGUUAAUUGUAAAAGCCAUGUAUUUGUACAGCGAUAGUCCUUAAUUUAGAAAUAGCUAUAGUAGUUCCUCUUGCCCAAGUUGCGUAAGCUAUUUUUGUCGUCUGGUGCUGAAAUUGACAGAUGUCUGGGGAACUUUUGCAUAUAUAUAUAUAUAUAUAUAUAUAUAUAUAUAUAUAUAUAUAUAUAUAUAUAUCUUCUUGUGUUGCACGAAGGUGCAUCGUUAGUUCAUUGUACAGGCGCAGCGCUUCGCUAAAACAUGAAUUCCCUGUACAUGUCGAAUGCUGUGAGCUAUGAGAUCAAGUAUGUAUUCCUCUCUAGAUUAAGUUGAUGUUGCUUUGAGCUGUAGAUACAUUCCAGCUCAGAAGGACAAUAUAUGUAUUGUAGCUUAUUGGUGUCCUCUCGUCCUUAUUACUGAAAUAAAGAAAACAUUAAUUAUUUGCCUUGCCAUUUUCUUUAAAGCUAGUUUCCUUCUGUGUGUGUCUCUAUAAACUAUCAAUACUCCUCUUUUUCUUGCGUUUCAACUCAGGUAUAAGCACAACUUUGCUCUUGCAUGAUGCUUUUGUGAUUAGGAUCAUUUGUAAGCUACGAAGCAUGUUCUAUACAUGAAGGCAGCAAUUAUUAGCCAGUUCAGUUCCAUCAGGAACCUAACAAAAUUCUUGCAUUGUGAAAUAUUUAAGUCUGGUUAUAAAGCCCUCAGGAACAUUCUCUAUCCGAACUACAGAGGCAAAGACUACAGAUAUGUAACAUUACUUCAGGAAACCUGUUUCUAGUGAAUUUUGUAAGAAACAUUAAAUCAAAAUAAUUAGUGGUGAAAAUGGCAUGUACCUUAAUAAUAAAUCAAAUUGGUUUUUAGAUACAGAUACAUGUUUGAAUAUCAGGUGGGACAAAAUAAAAAUGUUCCAUUCCAUUUUUUUUAUUCAUAUGCAGAAUUGCUUCGAAGUUCAUAGGACUUCAAAUACAAAGUAUCAAAGCAAAGCAAGAACUUCAGAAGUAGCACUUUGCGUAAACAUAUGAGAUGUACAUUAUACAAAAAAAAAA
rnacentral:lncRNA from 1 species